rnacentral:lncRNA from 1 species
UUCUGAACGUGAAAUCCUUAGCCGAGUAAGAUUUGGAGAAAGCAAUAGCCAAGUCAGAUCCUUAAUGCCAUGACAGCUAUAAAUUGUCACGACGGAGAGGUUGGUAAAGCAUGGACUUGUUGGAUUGUGUAAAUGAGAUGAGUCGGUCUUGCUUCCUCUGCAUUUAAUAUAUGUAUCAAUCGCCGACACAUGACUACCAUCCACAUGGAGCACACUAAGAUUCUCCAUACUCAACAGCGAUGACAUAUUGAAUGGCUUUUCUUUAAAACCUCGAAUACCCAGAGAAUUGAUGCAGUUAGCCAACCUUGGAUCGCCUAAUAUAUGCUUCAAACCCAACUCGGUAGAGAUCGUUAUCUCUAGAACUUGUAGAUGCUCCAAGGGCUGCAGCUCCUCCAACAUGCUAACAUCUCCAUCAACUUUAGAAAAUCUUAGUUUCAAAAUUCUUAAACUCGACAGCUUUGAUAUCCCACUGAUACUACGAAGACUGUAUGUAUAACUCAAAUCCAGAUGAAUUAGCUUUUUCAACUCUUGGAAACCAACUGGCAGUUGCUUUAUACUUGUGCCCCACAAGUUAAGAUACUGCAAGGAGGCCAGCUUCGAUAUCUGCUUAGGAAGUUUUUCGAAAGCGAGAUUAAGUGAUAGAUCCAAAACAACUAGCUUUUGCAUAGAGCCGAUGAAUUCACCUGAGAGAUUCUUCAACUUAUUCUUCUGGAGGAGCAGAGUUGUAAGUUCAGAACACUUGGAACUGCAUUUUAUCUCUUUAACCUCAUUCCUCAUUAAAGACAUCCUUCUCACAGCUCUCCAAUUCUUGACUUUUGGCGUUUCGUGUAAUCCGACUCCUGCUUGAACAAAAAAAGACUCAGAUGCAAUCCAUAGAGCCAUUUCGCGAACCACGUCAUGCAUCACAACAAGACCUAUCCUAUCAGGCUGUUCUGUCAGUAAAUUUGAGCGGAUAAGGGUACCAAGUACCUCAUAACCCUUAUUCACUGCCCUUUUAUAAGAUUGGUGUUCCCCGAUGAAUCCCUCGCACAUCCAAUAUUUUAUCAAAUCUCCUUUAUCUAUCUCAUAAUCUUCCGGAAACAGAGCACAAUAGAGGAAACACGACUUGAUAUGUUCACCCGCCAAGCUAUCAUAGCUAUACUUCAGAAUCGGAAGAAUUUUGUUUUCCAUGUCAAAAAACUCUGCAGCUGAUCUGGACAAAACAUCGACUGCAAGCUCCCAUUCUUGUACCGUAGUUUGAGAUGACAUUGUCUCACCAAUGACAACAAGCGCUAGUGGCAGACCACAACAUUCUUUAGCGACCUUUUUGGCAAGCUCGACAAUGGCAGGAUCUCUACUUAAUGUAUUGUCUCCUACUUUGCUUUUGAACAAUUUCCAUGCUUCUUCUUGUCCCAAACAGUCGACUUUCAUCGGCUCAUGAUCUCCCAUCCGCCCACAUACUUCCCGAGAACGAGUGGUGAAUGCUACUUUGCAUCCAUUUUCUCUGGUGGGAAACGGAACUCCAAUGGCUUCUAAAUCCAAUUUCUCCCAUAUAUCAUCUAACAUCAGGACAAAUCUCUUCCCUUUUAAAACUCUGUGUAUAUUGAUUGCCUUGUCACUUUCACUUUUGUUCUUCCACUCGCCGUCGCAAAGGUGUAGGUUUUUUGCAAUAUCAUCUUGAAGCUUUGAAAUAGUUGCACCUUGAGACACCACAACCCAGAUCACAACAUCAAAUCUACCUAUUUCAGUGAACUUAUUGUGGAUUUUCUUGAAAAGGGUAGUCUUGCCUACACCACCCAUACCGUGCAAACCCAUGAUUCCAACUCCAUCUUCCAUAAGGCGCUUCCAUGCCUUUUCCAGCAUUGUUUCCUGACCAAUCGUAGGCCCAGUAGGCCUUUCUUCUACUGCAGAUCUCAAAACCGGCUCAGUAACCUCUUUAAAAUUACCCUCCGAUUUGAGUUUCUUAACCUCUUUCAGCAACAAGAAUACCUUUUUCCCAUAUUUGUAGCUGGAACAUACACUUUUUGAAGAUAAACCACAGAGACAUAACUUCUUAAGCUCAACAGGACUAGUACUAAGCAGAUUAUUGAAUCGUGUAUCGAUGCUCUCGACACGUGUUAGCCAUACCUUGACAGCUUCAAGCCUUUGUUGAUGUUGUGCCUCCUCUCUCGCUACUUUGUUCUUCACCUCAGCUUCAAUUGCCUUGAGAUCAUCCAUUUCCCUCUUCAGAGCCCUGAGAUUCUCCUUGAGGUUUCGAAUAUAACCUUUGCCACAUAAGAAUCUAAAGAUACGAUUGAGAUCACCACCAGUAAGUUGGAUAGGAUUACAACUCCCCAUGUCGAUAGAAAGAGAGAAAACUUUGAGUAAGCAACAAACGAAAGCUAAAGAUGAAGAAGUGUUUUAUGUGAAAAGCAUUUUACAAGUGACGAAGGCAUAUAUGAUUUGUUAUCUGUCGGUCCUCUUUGGUUUCUAAUUUCCACCACUCCCACAUAUGCAUCGACUGAUACGAUUCACAUGAAAAAUGAAAAGCCACACAAUUUCUCUAUGGUGAUAGAAAGAGAAUAUUUCUGAAGCUGAAGAAGUUUUUAUUGUCAAAAAUAUCAUUGGAGAUAAGAUAACACAUCUUUCUCCAAUACGGGUGGUUAGGAGAUUUUCCAAAGGGAAAAAAAAAAAUUGCUUACGAAAGACUUUGACUAUUCUAAUAUCCGACCAUAGAUUUUACGAGUGAAGACUUUGCUCAAACUUAUUUCAAGUCAACUAAAGUCCUAUCUUCUGCUCUUAUGUUCUUCGUUUGGCGCUUGUAGCUGUCAAUUUGUUAGCCAUGUUGGCUUUGUUAUUGUUUGUAAACAAGUCUUCCUCUAAUGGAGCGUAGCUAAUCUAUAAAAUCUCAUUUGAGCAAAAAGAAAAUUAAAAGGAAACCCAAGUCUAAGGUGACAGAAACGUGGAUUGGUCAAGUAGUGGAGAUGAUUAAGUAAUCAUUGUCUGUUAUGCCCAAAGUAGCUUACGAAGUGGAGUCUUCUUUUGCGUUGAAAUCCUAUACGAUUAUUGUGUUGUGCCGAUUCUAUUUUUUCGUUAGUCUCUCUGUAGUAGAAGAACAUACCUUAGAUUUAGGCAUUGCCUGUUUAUGAUUUCAUUUAGAUUCAUGUUUCUUUUUAGCACCCUAUUGAGAAUUUAUUAUGUGCUACUUGAGAUAAAUCUGGGUUUGAAUUCUUUAAGUUGCUCAUUAAUGGAGUUUUAGUCAUGUCUAAGAGUAGAAAGUAUAUAAAAGCUUUUAAAAAAAGACUUGAUGAAUGGCAGAAAGAAUAUGAUCAGGGAGUUUUAUAAAGCUGAGGAUGAUGAAAAAUCGAACAUACAAAGUAUUUUGCCAUGUCUAAAACCAGAAUGUCCUACUGCCAAAUCUGUUGGGUAGUAGAACUUUUCUAGUCAAUGCGGUGGCAAAUCGAAUCUGGGGGAAGAAGUGUAAGAUUUUUUCUCGAAAACUUGGUGAAACUUCUUAAUGUUGUAUCACGUAUUGUUGUUCCAUGGACUUCCGCUGCCACUUUAAUAUAUAUUUUUAUCGUCCCAUUCAUUUCUUGCUGAACAAGAAACCCAAAUGUGGAAAGAAAAGAAGAAGAAAUUGUUUGUGAUUUUAUCCUUUGAAGAUCAAUACACAUAUGUUUUUACAUUUUUAAAUAAUGAAAUUAAUCCCCCAAAUACAUGCAUGACUUUUCUAAUAAUUUUUUAUUAUGUUGUUCCAAUUUGUGUUUGUUGGGUGUAUGAUAUAUUAUGAUGCAAAUGGAGAGUAUCAGUCUAAAUAAGGGUGCAUACUUCAAGCUAUUCUAGAGCAAACAAGUAAGAAACUUUAGAGAUGAAAAAAAACAACUCAAGCGGAAGAGUAUAAGAGAACUGAUUACCAGAUGGAUUAAAGGCAAGAAACGUUUUUGGUAUCUUCGUCCUCCCAUUCAAGCUCAGUUUAUCUCUUCUCCAGGACCCAUACCUAUUGUAAACCAGGCAAUUCGUGGGACACUUGUAGCAUCUAAGGGAAGCUUUCUCAGCUGUGGACACUCUUCUACUGUUAAUUUUUGCAAUAACAGUAGAUACUCUCCGGCUUAAGCAAAUUUCUUAUCGAAAACACUUCUAGUUUCUGAAACGGUGUAAUACCUCUAACUGUAAGAUUGACUUCUUUCUCUUUGCUUAUAAUAAUAUCUUCUACUUCUUCUGAAUAUCCACGUAGACGACAAGAUUUGGAGCAAACAGUGGAUUUCUAAGUUCUCUAGUUUGGGAAAUUUCGUGGCUUAUGAUGAACAAGUUGGGGUUUACUGAAAUUGAGUUCUGGUUUAAUCAAGACUGGUUAUAUCAUUAAUUCUUUAAGCCGGUUAAAGCAGUAUUAUGGUUCUAUUUUGGAAGUGGGUUCACUGACAUUGAUUUUUUUUGUUUUGUUUUAUAAUUUAAUUCAUUUUCAUAGAUGAAUUUGAAAGGUUACAGCGCAAAUAAACCUCAGACCGGUGAUCAGGUGAAACAUGAAAGAUAAAAUUAUGUAUAAGCUUUCCAGCAGUCAAAUCCCAUACCUAUUGGAUAUGAUCAAAUAUUAUAUCAAUUGUUAGAAACACAUACGUUGGGGAAAAGAGAAUGCGCAAGAUCCAUUUAUAGAUAUUGCAGUGCUUACCUUUACAACAUUGUCAAGUCCUCCAGUCACUACAAAAUUUACAACAUACGUUGGAGUAAAUUUGAUAGUGUUGAUGCCACGAGUAUGACCCUUGUACCUCUGUAUGCAUCCCUUCUUUCUGAUGUCCCAAAUCUUCAAAUUCGUGUCACUUGAUCUAUGAUGCCAAAAAUUCACCAAAUGGAUGAAAUUCAACAGCAGAACAAUUGGAUCUAUGUCCAGUAAAAGCUCGAACCACUACACUUCAAGAGUAAGAGUGAACAUGUUAGACCUCAUAAUUCUAAAGUAAACGAUAGAUAUGGUGUGGUACACUGCUCAAAUAUCAGGACCCAUAAUCAACAUCUAACUCAAUCGGUAUCUCUAUAUGUUCCCAUUUGAUGAAACUAGCUAGGCAUAUAAGGAGCAACAAGUAUUCUAAAGGAGAGCAGAAAAUCAAUCAACUAACUCUUUGCUUCUUCUAGAUCCCAAAGCUUUCUCACACCCGAAGAAGCUCCACCAAGCACCAAAACUUCUGCCGAGUCAAAAGCUACUGAAUCCACUGCACUAGUAUGUCCACAUAAACUCUGCAAACAACUCAAGAAAUGAAUAUAGCAGCACUCUUCUAUAUAAAAAACAAUACACACUUUUUGCUCAACAAGGAGGAAAAAUUUAGACAAGAGAGAAAACGUGAAACACACCAUUAAAGAAGUAGGCUUGCCGAUCGCCCAAAGGUUGACAUUGUAAUCAUCACCACCAGUAAUAAGGAGCCGUGAUGUCUUCUUUCCGAUACUUAAGCAAUUUACAUUUGCAGAAUGUGCCAAAAACUCCUCUACGUUUCCAAAAUCAAGUCAAGGUAUAAGCAAACACCAGACAAGAACAGCUAAAGAAAGGAGCAGCCUUUGAAGCAACUCGACAGCAAAACAUAAAGCAGGUCAUAAAUGGAGAGAAGUACUUUCACAUACAAAACAUAUCCAGAAAAUAUCCAUUUUCUAUCAUAUUGAGCAGCCAGUGAUAGAAACAUUUGACCCGGAAUUAAUUUCUGCUAAAAUCUUGAAAUGCUAAUCAAAACUUGAAGCUUAUCAAUAGCAAACUAAGCUUUGCUCUUGGGAGUUUUUAAAGAUAAAACCCUAACGAUUCGGUGAUUUAAAAAAAAAAAAAAAAAGACGACAAAAAUUUCUCAGGAUGGAGCUAAAAAUCCAGAGUUCGUUCAAUUUUACUCAGCUUAAGAAUCAACAACAUCGCCAGGAAUAUAAAAGGAUACGCAGCUUAUAUCCACGCUUCGCCAUUUUCUACUCGAUUUCCAGCAAAUCCGUGGGAAUCAAUGGAAUCCGAAUCUCUAGCUUCCGUAAUCGAUCGAAAAAACGGUGAAUCGGAGCUGAAAAAAAAAUCCCAAUUGUCACUACACGACAGAGCUCGAGAUUUUCGGGAAAUUCAAAAGGAGAAACACGGAGGUUGCUUCCCGUUGAGAUUUCAAAUCUAGAACGUGAGAAAAGAAUCAAAUUCCGGGAACAAGAAUUUUGAAGGAAACGAGAUAAUCAGAGAUUCAAAUAGUGACACGGAGCAGAAAGAAAAAAAGAAACAGAAGAGAAGAAGAAAAAUGGUAAAGCGAAGGAAGUUUUUUAUGUUGUCAAUAUUAUUCGAUAGGUGAGGAAGCACCUCAUCAUCUCUUGGAUUUGUUUGUUUCCUAAAGACAUUGUCAACCUUAUAUAUAUAAAUAGGGUAAUUAAGCGUAGUGUUUUGUUUGGUAAGACAUAAUAUUAUACAUAUAUAACAUUUAAAUACUCGAAUCAAAGAGAUAAUUAAGAAAUUUUGAAUCAAAGCCUAUAACAUAGUGUCUAGAAAAUCAAUAAAAAAUCUUUAAAUGAUUUAGAUAUUAAAAUCAAUUUUUAAAAAUAUUUCUCAAAAUUUUGUGGAUAAAAUAAUCUAAACGAGAAUUGUUUUCAUUGUUUUGUAUAAUAUUUCGAAAAUUGAAAGUAGACUAAAUUAUGUAGAAAAGAAGAAUCUACGACCGCUAACAAACACCUGAACACGAAAUUCAUUAUGAUUAAACAAAUAUCAAACUUUCUUUUUUUCCAACAUUAGUAUCAUGUUUUUCAUGUCAGUCAGUUUCUAUGUUGCUUCUCAUCUUUAGAUGCUUUAGUAUUUCUCAAUGUUUUUAAACCCGACCCGGACAACGACCCGAAGUAUUCUUCGGAUUGUCGGUUAACUGGAUUGACCUGGAUUAAUCCGGGUCAACCGCGGAUCAACUAAGUAUAUAUAUUUGUUAUGUUUUUUAAUAAAUUUUAUCACUUUUGUUACAUUUUUUUUAAUGUAAAAAAAUACAAAUUUUUGCUAAAAAGUUUUGUCACUAAAUCGCAUUAAUUAUUAUAUAUCUUUUUCUAUAUAAUUUUUUUUAAUAAAAUUAAAUUAAAAUAUACACUAAAUAUAGUGAUCAUAUUAACUAUAUUUUUGAACAUUUUUAAUUAUAUAUUUUUUCCUUUUAUUUAUUUUCUUUUUUAAACAGUUAAUUUUUUACUAGAAAAUUUGAUAUUACAAAACUUACAAUUGUAUAAUGGUGAGAAAAUAACAAACUAUUCAAUAAAAUAUAGAAAAACAAACUGUUAUUACUACUAAAAACAUUCAAAUAAAAGUAUAUUAAUUGUCUCUAAAAUCCAAAAAUAAUGUAGAAAAUUUUAGCAAUAUUUUUUGAUUUUGUUACCACCUCAUUUUUUCCAUCUUCUGUUAUUGUAAGUGCUCUGCAUCUUGUUCUAAUUUUGUUUUCUAAAACUGUAUUUUUUUUUUAAAAAAAUAUCAUAUAUUCAUAAAUAAAUUUAUAAAACUAUUAAUUUUUUUCCAAACCAGAAACCCAUCCAGAUCGGGUUUUUGCCGGUUCACCGAGUUUAAGCGGGUUUUUCUGGAUUUAAGCGGUUUAAUAGCAUUUUGGGUUUCAACAAAAACUAAACCGGAAAUUUUACCAGGUCACGGUUUAACCGGUUAAACCGUCCGGUCCGAUCUGGGUCUGAAAACAUUGGUAUUUCUCUUACAACUAUGCUCAUGGUAUUUAGUGGUUGGAUGAUUUACUUUAAGAUUAGAAUACUAAUAAUUUGAAUAUUCUUACAACAAUUUCAACUGUAGUUGAAAUCUGAAGCCAUAUUAAAUGAUAAAUAUACUCAGUUUUUAAUUAUUCACAAACUACAAAAAUUAGUCUAGAUUUCGAUAUAGAAUUUUAUAAUUAUCAAUAUUUUCUUCUUCUUUUCCUGAUAGCAUAAGCUUUUAUUGUUUAUUUUUAGUUAAAAAAGAAAAUAAAGUAUAGCAAAUUAAACACAUUAUUGAAACAAAUGUUAGGAAUCUUAUACUGAAUAUUUGAUAGAACCCAAAGUAAUAUAUAAGUGAAAUGGAUCAAUCCGCACCAAUUAUUUUUAAAUCAGAACCCCAUAAAACGUAAUGUGGUAGCGGAAUCCAAAUUUUGUUGACUUACGGUAGUAAUAUAUAAGUGAAAUUAAUCAAUCUGCUAAUUACCAGCUACUUUUAAAUCAGAAUAUCAUAACGUAAUGUGGUAGCAUAAUCCAACUUUGUUGAUUUAAGUAGGAUAGCCCGAAUAAGAAAUAUUGUAGUUCGUGUAUGGCAUACUGCAAAUCUUAGAAUAUGUUUUGGUUUGAGUCUUCAAGAUGUGCGAGAUAGUUAUCAUCUAGAGGAAAUGGACUUAAAGAACUAUAUAAGAGAUACACUCAUAAUUCAUAUAUACCAGAAUCCAUUUUAUUACCAAUUUUUUUUUAGUUAGAACCUAUAAAACUUAGAAACAUAUAUCAUGAUAUAGAAUCAAAGGUCAUCUCACUAAAAAUUAUUAUGCUCACAUAUGGUUUAGUUAUUCAAAAAAAUAAAUAAUCAAACAUACGAAUUAACCAAAAUAUAGUCUUAAAAGUUUUAGGUCUGCUAAAAUGUUUUUUUUAGGUGUUACUAUGCUAAGCUUCAAAUUGUAUUGUAUUCACUCUUCAGUAUAAGACUAAUGAACAUUUAAUUUACAAUUUUGAAUUUUCUAAUGGAGUAGACCGAGAUCAGGCCCAGGCUAUAACCGCUUCUUACAGGCUAUUGAUGCAAUCAAAUGUUACAAAUUGCGAACGGCUAUUUGCUUUGUGUUAGCAUUGGUCCAUUGAAUUUUAAUUUUUUUUUAUAAUAUAUUGAGUCAUAUGUAAAUACUAGAUGCCUGGUACCGGUUCUUAUCAGCUUCGCUGCUUUGUAUAUAGUCGCCGUCUGCAAGAAUCAUUCUGAGAAAUGCUAGACAAGAGUGAGAAAGACAAUUUUGUAAAAGAAAGAAGAUUGAGUUUUGCCAGAAACUACUCUACAAGAUUGUUGUAGUUUCUGGACACGCAGCUAAUUCAAACGACGAACCAAUGUUCAAGACCGGUGGGUGGUGAAUAAUUGAGCGUAUCAAUUAAGCUUGCGAAUUUGUUUUUUUUUUUUUGGCUGAAGAUUUGUUCUUGGGUUCUUGUUUUAAUGUUCUUAAUGUGGUGAAGCCAUUAGGAAAGGAAUGUGAAAACUCUUAAAAUUAAGAAGACUCUUUCCAUGUCUUCUUAAGCGAAGUUGUCUCUAGUUAUUGCCCCAAAUCAGAAAGCCACUAGACAUAGUUUAGGAUUAGAUGGAAGUCAUAGCGUCUUCAGAUUAGGUUUAGGGGAUUUAAAUUAAAGAGUCUGAAAAACAGGAUCUUCAUGAUUUAGCAAAAUCAUAUAACUUUUCAUCUUGAUUCCUCCUGUUAACAACAGAAACACACUGCAAGAUGAAAUAGAAAAAGCUACAGGUAGAGGAAUUUGAUUUUGGAUAGUGAGGAAUCAAAAUACACAGUGAAUUCAGAGGCAUCACAUACUUUUAUGAUAUAAGCAUAAAAACUGUUGAUUAUAUAAAUACAUGUAGCUUGAGAAGGAAGCAAUCCGCCUUAACUUAUUACAUAGAAAAUUGAAAAGAGAAAAUCCAAUUGAACAACACAACACACUGCAGAGAGAGAUAAGAAUGCAUAGGAAAAGCAAUAAUACAAUCCAAAUGAGCAACACAUCACACUUUCAAGAAGAAAGAGAACGCAGAAGAAGAAGCGAGGAUUCUGGUUUCUGACAGUGAGGAAUCCCAAUCCAGCUUAAGGGAUGGUUAGACAUACUGAAUCCGCUAAAGAAGAAAAAAAUAAACAAAAGUUAGUGAAUAUUCAUAAAAAAAAUACAUUUCACCUAAAACUGCUAGGAAUAUCCAGCAAAAUCUUAAGAAGCUGAACUAAUAUUAAUCAGUUUCUAUUAAAUAUUUUUAUAUAUUCUUUGCUUAACGAAUGUGAAAGGAAAAGAAGAAGAAGAAAAACACUGUUUGUAGAUAUAGUCAUUUGAACAGCUCAAUGCACAUAUGUAGAAAUUUUAAUGACCCCUCGUAUAUAUCCAUUAAACACAGGUCUGAUGAUUUUCCAGAUAAUUGUCUAAUUUUGUGCCUCAAUUUGUGUUUUGUUGGAUAUCAUGAUGCAAAUGGAUAAUAUCAGACCAAAGAAAAAACGAUCACACCUCAUUCUAACCUUGAGCAAACUUGAAAGAAACGCAGUAAGAUAAAAUAAUUUAUUCAAGCGGAAGAGAAUAAGAGAAAUGAUUACCGAAUGGAUUAAAGGCAAGAUACGUUUUUUGGUAUCUUCAUCCUCCCAUUCAAGCUCAGUUUUCUGUUCUUCAGGACGCAUAUAUAUUCCAAACCCGUCAAGUCGUGGGACACUUGUAGCAUCAAAGGGAAGCUUUCUCAGCUUUGGACAAUUUCCUACAUAUAUGUGCCGCAAUGAUGGAAAGGGGAGAGGACUCCAGUAGAUACUCUCCAGCUCAGGCAACUGUAACAGGGAUAACUUUUCUAGUUUCUGAAAUGGUGUAGUACCUGUAAGAUUGGUUGCUUUCUCUUUGUUUAUGAUUUCUUCUAGUUCUCCUAAAUGUGAAAUGUCUAGCCAAGUCAGAUUUGGAGCAAACAGUAGCCAAGUCAGAUCCUUAAUGCCAGGACAGCUAACCAUUGCCACGACGGAGAGGUUGGUAAAGCGUGGACUUGUCCGAUUGUGUAAAUGAGAUGAGUCGGUCUCGCUUUCUCUGCAUUUAGUAUAUGUAUUAAUCUCCGAGACAUGACUUUUUUUCACACAGUGCUCACGAAGAUUCUCCAUACUCACCAGCGAUGACAUAUUGAAUGGCUUUUCUUUAAAACCUUGAAUAACCAGAUGAAUGAUGCAGUUAGCCAACCUUUGAUCGCCUAAUAUAUGCUUCAAACCCAACUCGGUAGAGAUCGUUAUGUCUAGAACUUGUAGAUGCUACAAGAGCUGCAGCUCCUUCAACAAGCUAACAUCUUCAUGAACUUUAGAAUUUUCUAGUCUCAAAAUUCUUAAACUCGACAGCUUUGAUAUCCCACUGAUACUACAAAGACUCUCUGUACCAGUCAAAUCCAGAUGAAUUAGCUUUUUCAACUCUUGGAAACCAACUGGCAGUUGCUUUAUACUUGUGUACGACAAGUUAAGAUACUGCAAGGAGGCCAGCUUCGAUAUCUGCUCAGGAAGUUUUUGGAAAUCAUCAUUAUCUGAUAGAUCCAAAACAACUAGCUUUUGCAUAGAGCCGAUGAAUUCACCUGAGAGAUUCUUCAACUUAUUCUUCUGGAGGAGCAGAGUUGUAAGUUCAGAACACUUGGAACUGCAUUUUAUCUCUUUAACCUCAUUCCUCAUUAAAGACAUCCUUCUCACAGCUCUCCAAUUCUUGACUUUUGGCGUUUCGUGUAAUCCGACUCCUGCUUGAACAAAAAAAGACUCAGAUGCAAUCCAUAGAGCCAUUUCGCGAACCACGUCAUGCAUCACAACAAGACCUAUCCUAUCAGGCUGUUCUGUCAGUAAAUUUGAGCGGAUAAGGGUACCAAGUACCUCAUAACCCUUAUUCACUGCCCUUUUAUAAGAUUGGUGUUCCCCGAUGAAUCCCUCGCACAUCCAAUAUUUUAUCAAAUCUCCUUUAUCUAUCUCAUAAUCUUCCGGAAACAGAGCACAAUAGAGGAAACACGACUUGAUAUGUUCACCCGCCAAGCUAUCAUAGCUAUACUUCAGAAUCGGAAGAAUUUUGUUUUCCAUGUCAGAAAACUCUGCAGCUGAUCUGGACAAAACAUCGACUGCAAGCUCCCAUUCUUGUACCGUAGUUUGAGAUGACAUUGUCUCACCAAUGACAACAAGCGCUAGUGGCAGACCACAACAUUCUUUAGCGACCUUUUUGGCAAGCUCGACAAUGGCAGGAUCUCUACUUAAUGUAUUAUCUCCUACCUUGCUUUUGAACAAUUCCCAUGCUUCAGUCCAUUCCAAACAGUUGACUUUCAUCGGCUCAUGAUCUCCCAUCCGCCCACAUACUACCCGAGAACGAGUGCUGAAUGUUACUUUGCAUCCAUUUUCUCUGGUUGGAAACGGAACUCCAAUGACUUCUAAAUCAACUUUCUCCCAUAUAUCAUCUAACAUCAGGACAAAUCUCUUCCCUUUUAAAACUCUGUGUAUAUUGAUUGCCUUGUCACUUUCACUUUUGUUCUUCCACUCGCCGUCGCAAAGGUGUAGCUUUUGUGCAAUAUCAUCUUGAAGCUUUGAAGUAGUUGCACCUUGAGACACCACGACCCAGAUCACAACAUCAAAUCUACCAGCCACUUCAGUGAACUUAUUGUGGAUAUUCUUGAAAAGGGUAGUCUUGCCUACACCUCCCAUACCGUGCAAACCCAUGAUUCCAACUCCAUCUUCCAUAAGGCGCUUCCAUGCCUUUUCCAGCAUUGUUUCCUGACCGAUCGUAGGCCCACUAGGCCUCUCUUCUACUACAGAUCUCAAACCCGGCUCAGUAACCUCUUUAGAAUUACCCUCUGAUUUGAGAAUCUGGACCUCUUCCAGCAACAAGAAUACCUUUUUCCCAUAUUUGUAGCUCGAACAUACACUUUUUGAACAUAAACCACAGAGACACAACUUCUUAAGCUCAACAGGACUAGUACUAAGCAGAUCAUUGAACCGUGUAUCGAUGCUCUCGACACGUGUUAGCCAUACCUUGACAGCUUCAAGCCUUUGUUGAUGUUGUGCCUCCUCUCUCGCCACUUUGUUCUUCACCUCAGCUUCAAUUGCCUUGAGAUCAUCCAUUUCCCUCUUCAGAGCCCUGAGAUUCUCCUUGAGGUUUCGAAUAUAACCCUUACCACAUAAGCAUCUGACGAUAUGGUUCAACGUUUGAUCACAGGAAAGUUGGAAAGACACACAAUUCCCCAUGGUGAUAGAAAGAGAGAAAACUUUGAGUAAGCAACAAACGAAAGCUAAAGAUGAAGAAGUGUUUUAUGUGAAAAGCAUUUAACUAAUUCUGAAGAAGGAAGAGAGGAUUAGUUAGAUUUUAGUCUACUAUGCGUUUUAAUUUCCGCCAUUGUUUCGAAGGACGUUUAGUCGUUUACUUUAGAUGCAAUUAUGUUUGAAAAAUUCAAAGGUCAAUUACCAACUCUUAUCAUUAUUAAGAUGCAACUAUGUUUUAAAUUAUACAAAGGUCAAUGAUUUAAUCGCCCAGUUUGGAUUAUUAUGCAACUAUGUUUUAAAAAAACAAAGCUCAAUUAAUGUUUAAUCACUGGGUUUGGAUUAUUAUCAUCACUUGUUGUUAAUUAUUUAAAUCAUUCACUUUAAAAUAUUUGUGAAAAAUCAAUUACUUUAGAAUAUUUUCCAAAUGACAUGGGAACCAAUAACCAUGAUCAAAAACGGUGUGGUGCGAUCGCACGAAGCCAAAAACAACUUACAAGAAAUCUGGAACAGAGCAGACAAUGGAGAAGUCUAAGGAUCUCGUCAAGGCUGAGAACUCAGAAUGGCCUCCAAAUUUUAUCUGCACCUGAAUUCAGAAUGGCCUAACAAAAAGUGCAGAAUGGCUUAUAAAAACUGCCCAUACCAAGCAAAAAAAAAAAAAAAAAAAAAAACAAAAAACAAAGUCAGUCAAUAACAGAUAUCAGUCUCGAAGUUGCUUUUUUGUUUCACCAAAAAAAAGAAAAGAAGAAGUUGCUUCUUUUGUGGGAAAAGCAGAGGUCAUAUAAAGGCUCAUUGUUACAGGUUUCAGAGGAAAGUAAAUCAGUUUUAGAAUCAUCAAGACUAUAUGGAAAAACCAUUGAGAUUCACAGAAGCAAAGAAUUUUAUUUUGGACAUCGAGGAAUAAAAAUCUAAAAUCAAAAUCCAAAGGUACAUUGAAGGAUGUUUAGACCCAAAACGGCUACAAAAGAAAAGAAAGAAAAAAAAGUUAGUGACACUUGUGGAACGCAUUGAAAUUGAGAGGGACAACAUAUUCUGAAAAUAAAAUUCCAUUUUAACAUGUCUGCAGGGAUUAUCCAACUAAUUCUACCUCACCAUUGAUAUCUUAAGAAGCUGAACUAGGUUUAAACGGUUUUGUUGCGGAUAUCACCAAUAUCAAUUCGUUCAAAUUGAGUUUCCGAUCUGAAUCUUUAGAUGAAAUAGAAACGAGAAAUAAGCAAUAGAAACUACACACAAGAUUUAUCCAGUUUAGGGGCCAACCGCGACCCUACAUCUGGCAGAGACUUCCUCGGAAUUCACUAAGAGAAUGGUUUACAGAGUAGCCGUUACUCUCACUGGAAGAUACCCCGAGAAUCCCUUUCACUCACCGGAAAGAUCUCACAGUUUUCACUCACCAAUUACAAAAAAUGGUAUGUCGAAGAAGAUCUCUCUCUCUCUCUCUCUCUCUCUCUCUCUCUCUCUCUCUCUCUGUCUGCAACUAAUUAAUGACCGACCCGUAGUAACAAACCGAAACAACCCCUGCGCGUAAACACACGCUCUAACGGUCACUCUUCGAUAUCAGCUUCUAGAAGAAGCUCGUAACGAUGACGUCUUGGAGUCUUACCUUAUCCGGUUCACCUAAUCCUGAAAUCAAUAUCCUGACUUCAUAAACCGGAACCUGCUAAUUGAACUAGAUGGUUUAUCAACCAAACCCAUCGGACAGGUUUUUUAACUUUCUCUUUUAACAUUUUUCUCCUCCCAUAUAUUCUUUGCUGAACAAGAAACCCAAAUGCCAAAUGUGAAAGAAGAAGAAGAAGAAUUAUUUGUGAUUUGAUCAUUGAAGAAUUCAAUACACACAUGUUUUGUAAUUUUGGAAUUAAUGAUACCCCAUACAAAUCCACCAAACACAUGUUUUAUUUUCAACGUAAUUUUACAGUUUGUGAUCCAGAUUUGUUUGUUGAGUAUCAUGAUGUACAUAUGGAUCAUAUCAGUCUAAUAAAACGAUUCAGACCUCAUGCUAACCUUGAGUGAAAGAAACUUAGUAGUAAAAAUAAUUACCCAAACAGAAGAGUUUAAAGGCAUCUUCUAUAUAUAAUUCUAUAUUUUACUCUAUUUAGAUACUCCAUUUUUAGAGUAAUUCUAUUUUUAGAGUAAUUCCAUUUUUUAAUAGUAAUUCCAUUUUGGAGUGAAAUAUGAAAUAGGUUUAGAGAGAAUUUUCUUCGAACUCGAAAUUUGGAGUAGAGUCGGAGAUGAUCUAAGAGAACUGAUUACCCCAUCGAAUGAACGCAAGAAACGAUUCUUGGUAUCUUCGUCCUCCAUUCAAGCUCAGUUUUUUGUUCUUGAGGAAUCAAUCUUAUUACAAACUGGCCAACUCAUGAGAAACUUGUAGCAUUUAAGGGUAGCUUUCUCAGCUUUGGACAGAGAUCAGCUACUAUGUGCUUCAGAAAUGGAAAGGCAAGAGGACUCCCGUAGAUACUCUCCAGCUUAGGCAAAUUCCUAAAUGUUAUAAAUUUUAGUUUAUGAAAUGGUCUUAUACCUGUAAGAUUGUUACUUUUUUGUUUACAAUGUCUUCCAGUCUUCUUGAAUUUUCAAUCUGUAGGUAGACAAAAUAUAUUGACUAGAUUAUGUUGAAAAAUGUCAAUCUCUAAAACAUUGCUUCAGUUCGCCAACCUUCAAUCGCCCAAUAAUUGCUCCAAAUCCAACUCCGCAGAUAUGAUUAUGGUUAGAACUUGUGGAUUCUCCAAGAGCUGAAGCUCCUUCAAUAAGCUAGCAUCUCCAUGAAAAUUAGAAUAUUGGAAUUUCAAAAUUCUUUAACUUGAUACUUUUGAUAUCCCAUUGAUACUAGAAAGUCUCUAUGUAACAAUCAAAUUCAGCUGACUUCGCUUUUUAAAAUCUUGGUAGCCAACAUGGAGUUGCUCUAUACUGUAUACAACAAGUCAAGAUACUGCAAGGAUGCCAGCUCUGAUAGUUUUUUCAUAGAGCGGAUGAAUUUACCUGAGAGAUUUUUCAAAUUAUCACUCUGGAGGAACAGAGUUUUAUAAGUUCAGAGCACUUGGAAAUGCAAGUUAUCUCUUUAAUCGUAUUCUUCAUUAAAGACAUCCUUCUCACAGCUUUCCAAUGCUUGACUUUUGGUACAUAACCCUUAUUCUUCGCUCUUUUAAAAACUUGGCAUUCUCCAAUGAAUCCCUCGCAGAUCACGUACUCUAUCAAUUUUUCUUUAUCUAUUCGAACAUCUUCUGGAAACAGAGCACAAUAAAAGAAACAUGACUUGAUACGUUCAUCCACCAAGCAAUUGUAGCUGUACUGGACAUUUUGCUAAUGUUGAGCAAACAUGACUUUAUCUAUAGAGGAAACAUGACUUUAUCUAUAGUGUUUUUGGUCAAUAGGUGGAAUGCAUUUAGCUAAUGACGAUGAAAGAGAGAGAUUGUGUUAGAUUUCAUUCCUCUUUGCUUUGUAAUUUCUCCCAUAGUUUCAAAGUCGUCGACUUGAUGCAACCAUGUUUUUAUAAAGAUGAUUAAUCCCCAGUUUCGGAGUAUUUUAAUCACAUUAGAUGCCACUAUGUUUUAAAAGACAAAGCUCAAAUUCGUUGACUUGAGCUUUUCAAGAACGAUUUGAAACGUGUGGCUGAUGUUCCAGAAAGAAAUGCACCUGAUUUCAGAAUGGCCUCCAGAAACCUGCACCAUACCAAGUAAAAUCAAAACAAAUUAAAGUCAGAUAAUAAAAAAUUAAAAGAGGAAUGCUUCUGGGGGACAACUCCUAAGCAGCAUUGCUCUUGGAUUUGGAAAUCUAUUCUCUCUCUCUUAUGCCCCUUGCAAAGAAUCUGAUCGGAUGUGAUGUUAGGGAUGGCGUGUCAACAAGUUUCUGGUUUGACUCUUGGACCAAUUUAGGUCUGUUGAUUGACUUGACAGGUCUUGAUGACCCACAAAAAAUGGGAAUUCCUCUUUACUCUUCGGUUGCUGACUCUUGUUCUCCCAACGGGUGGAGACUUUCCUCAGCUAGGACCAGAGACUCAUCUCAUUUAGCUAUCCGCAACACCAUUACUGAGUUAUCCAUCCCGCACCAAGAUCAGGGUGGAGACGUGUUUCUUUGGGGUGUAGAAGGUUCAAGAAGAGAUUAUUUCUGUACCAGCAAAACUUGGCAUAUUCUGAGGCUUAAGGAGGAUAUAAAACGUUGGUUGAAAGCUGUGUGGUUCAAGAGAGCCACUCUGAAGCAUGCUUUCACCUUUUGGACGGCAAACUAAGACAGGUUACCACUGAAAACAAAGCUUGUGAGCUGGGGAAUUAAUAUCUCUCCAACAUGCUGCCUUUGUGACAUGGAGGAAGAGACUAGAGACCAUUUGUUUCUACACUGUCCAUUUUCUGAAGCAGUUUUGACCAUGGGGAUUCGGCGACUCGAAUUUUUUUGGAGUCUCAUUCUCUAAUUGGCAGUCCAUGAUCAACUGGAUGCUUCAACGAACACCAAGACUCUCCUCUACCCUGAAGAAGAUCCCAGGCGACAAUUUACUUGUUAUGGCGUGAACGAAACCAGAUAAUACAUGAUGGUCCUCUAUCUUCUGAAAACCAUCUCUUCGAUUAGUUGGAUAGACUGAUUAGAGACACAUUGUUGGCACACAAUCCCAGCGUAACUAUAGGGGUCUUCUAUCUCUUUGGUUUAAGAGCCACUAGUUCUUCAAGCUCGAUUGUAAUUCUACUAAAAUGAUCUGUUUCCAAGCCUUUUUCCUUUUUUUAGGCUUUUGAAACAGUGGCUGAGAGAUUUAUAGAAUAGCAGCGGAUUAAGCAAGAAUAUAGAGAGAUUUAGGUGAGAUUAAUGAAAAACUAAAGAAAAGAAGAGAGAAUCAAGAGAUUUAGAGAAAAAGAUAUGUAUUCUCAUUUUCUUAGAUCUAUAGAAAGCUGCUACAUGUGUUUAAGUAGGAAGACAAAGAAAACCCUAACACAUAUGGGCUUACUAAAUACCUUAUAAAGUUUUAUAAAGUUUAUAAAAUCUUAUAAAGUCUUAUAAAGUCUUUUAAAGUUUUCUAAUUGGAUUCCCACCAGAAAAGCUGAGAAUGAUCCAUCUUGUUUAACAGUGGCUAAUGUAAUAUACAAUAUAAUUCAAAUUUUAUUUUAAAAAAUAUAAGUUGCUUCUUUUGUGGGCAAAAAACAGGUCAUACAAAAGCUCGUCGUUAGUCUUUACAAGUUUCAGAGGACAGUAAUAUAUAAAAUCAUCAAAUUAUAUCGAAAACCCAUUGAGAUACACAAAAGCGUGUGUUCAAGAGGAAAGAAUUGUACAAGAAUAAUCUAUAACAUGUUGCAUCUAAUUGUGUCGAUGUUACAUGGGAUCUUCUUCGUCCAUCUACUAUAGUCAUAACAGGAUGUUAAAGCAAGACUUAAAGAUGAUGGAUCCGAGUCUGAAGUUACAGAAACGUGGAUUAAGCAAUAAAUUGGAGAUGAUGAAAAUAAGUUAUGCCCAAAGUAGCUUAUGAUGUGGAAGUGGGUUUUGUUUUUUUUUUGCGAAUCCUAAAAGAUUAUUGUGUUGUGCUGAUUCUACGUUAGUCUUAGAAGAAUGGAGUGUGUAAAAUAGAGAAAAUUUUAUAAAAGAAGUAACGUUCAUAUGUAGAAAAGCAUGCUUUUGAAUGAAUAAUGACUUGGUUUAUUUUUCUGUUGAAAGAAAAAAAAAUUAUUUAAUAUUUCAAAACGAGUGUAAAAGUGGAAUACUUUCUCGCGACAGAAAAAAUAUUCACUGCUGGUGAUCUAAAUGACGAUCCCAAAUAGACAAAUAAUAUUAGAAAUCUAUCUAUACACUAUUAUUUGCGAGGUUAAAAAUUUUAGGUGUCGUUCCCACAACAAUUGUUCUACAUGGCAUUAAUGAAAAAAUAUUAUUUAUCGUUUUAAUUUGUUUUGAUAAAUCGAUCAUUAAUCCUACGUGUAAAAACUUGUGACUUGGCUUUUUUCUUCGAUAAUGGGCUACAGAAUUUGUUCAUGGGCCAGCGAUUUUGUUUUCACUCAUAGCCACCGAUUCUGGUAAUAGGGCACCAACGUCGAAACCCUAAACUCUAAAGCAUAUAUCCUACUAUAUAUACAUGUAUUAUCUACAUAUAUUUUUACAUACAACAACCGUCUUCAAGGUCUAGCAAUUUUUACAAAACUCGUCCACCUCUAUUACACGAAUACAUCUUUUUUAUAUCCCAAUCUGGUUUAAAAUAUAUCGUUUGUUUAGUUGGUUGUUCUUCCAUGCUAACCUUUGAAUCGUUUUGUUCUGAUCGAGAUUCUUUUAUGCUAACCAGUCAAAUAUCUAUGUUUUUUCUCUAUCAUGUUCUAUAUUACUAUGCAUCACAACUAUCUUAUUUUUUAACCCCUGUUUUACUCUCUAUGCGAUUGGUCAUCGAGAUAUCAUAUUUGUGUUCUUUCUUUUGCUUUGUAAUUCUAUAUAUAAAAUUCGAUGCUUCAGUAUUAGAUAUUCAUGUUUCUCUUUAUUAAAUUUUUCUUAUGGUUAUAUUUGAUAUUAUUCGUAAAUCUAAAUUGACCUGAGCUUCUUUAUUGUUUUCCUUGAACCUAGAGUUCAUCGUGCAAACUAUAUGUGAUUGGUUCAAACUUUUGCAAUCAUAUCUUCAAAUGAAUCUAACAUGUAAUUGUAAAUAAAUCAUUAGUACUUUUUUUGUCAACAACUUAUUAGGACUUCUAAUUUUCUUAAUUGAUAUUCGUAAACUCUCUAAUUUAUUAUUUUGAUAUUCUUAGAAGGAUCAAAACCAUAGAAAUGAGUUUUUUUGUGUGUAUAAUUCAUGUUUUAGUUUAGGUUUGUAUUAAUUUUUCUGGUAACAUAUUGUGAAUGAAUGUUAUUUAUUGUUUGAUUGUUUGAUUGUUCUUUGUUUCUCCUUGGGUUCUACUUUACAUUUUCUUUAUAUUGUUGUUUAUGUUUAUUUUUAUUUCUAAAUAUAAUUUAUGGUUUUCGUGGUAGCUUUUGUGGACAAGUAAAAAAAAAAAAGAGUAACCAGUUCAGAUUAAUUUUGGUUUCAUAGUUUACUAAAGAUAUGUAACAUGAACAAAACGUCUAUUGUUUUAUAACAUUCCCAUUGUUUUCUACCCAAAGGCAAUUAUGUUGGUUCUGGAAAAAAUGUUUUAUAGUUUUGAUUUUUACCCAACACAUUCUUUUAUCAGAAAAACAUUAAAUUACUCUCAAGAUUAAACUUAUCAGGCAUUAAAGCAAUAUCUUUGUUGGUAAGUCGAUGAAUGAGAAUGUGAUGUCUCAUAACUUCAAAGAGCAAAGGAAAAAUAAGUGACAACGAGACUAGAUUCGGUGUGAGUAGAAUCUUUACGCAUGUUAAGUACUUGUUGAUAUACAACAAUCGUAUUGAGAACAGAGUGCAAACCAAUUGCAAAUUGCACCAUCCAAUUGGUGUUAAAUUAUAUUAUGGUUAAUCCCUGACCCAUUUCUUAGUUUCAUCAUUUGUUAAUGAAUCAUCAGUUUUUUUUAACCCCUGAUGAGAGAUAAAAUCAGCUGAAGGAAGGAGAGUCACCAAUACAGAGAAAGAAGAAUUUUUGCUAUAAAAUAUUCAGGUCUUAAUUUUCAUCAUCCUUGUAAUUUGUUUCAGCUUGCUAAAACUACUUUUUUAGUGUUGCAGACUUCAUCAGAAUACCUAAUAAAUUGAUGAUUCUCUGACACCAGAAUCUAAGAAAUAUACUCACACGUGAUAAACUGAAAUUUUUGUGAAUUGCAGAAUGAACAUACUCACACGUUGCAUUUCUCAUAUGUUUUGAUGUCUAACAAGUAAUUCUUGUGUCAUAUAGCUUUGUUGCUUUAAAAUUUUAGUUUUUGAAUUGAAUUUAUCUUAAAACAAUCCAUCCUUUGAUUGCUUCUCUAAAACCAAAAUCUUACAAGACAAAGCUUAUAUUGUAUCUUCGAAGAAGGUUGAAGAAUGAGAUGAAAUCUCGAGUAUGUUUCUAUGUUCAAAAAACUCAAAUCAGAUUGUUAUGUGUUUCUGAAGUUCACUGGUUUAGUACUUGAACACGAGCAAACAGAGAUUGAACACUCAUACAUUGAGUUGGACAAUACUAAAACGGGUCGGAAUCCCUUACUGAAAUGCGUGAGGAAAACACAGAAGCUAAAGAAAAUAAUGGAUGAAAUGAAAAAAGAUAGUUGGGUGGCAAAUAAAUGUGUGAUUGAUAUGAAAAAUUGGAAAAAAGAGAUGACGAAGACUUGAAGGUAAUGAAGAGAACAAAAUUGAGAAGGAGAAGUUGAGGAGAUAAGGCUAAAGCUAUAUUGUAGAAUUUAUCAUUAAUUUAAAGAGAAGAAGAAGACGAAAAAGAAGGGAAAACCUAAGGAGAUAUAAGUUAUGAAUAUAGAGAGGGAGGUAUGGAGAGAGAGAGAGAGAUGGAGAAAGAAGGAGAGAGAGGGAGAUACAGAGAGAGGGGGAGAUACAAAGAGAGGGGGAGAGACAGCGCGAUGGAGAGAGAGGGGGAGUGAGGAGAUACAAAAAGAGAGGGAGAAGGAAGGAGGGAGAUAGAGACAGACAGAGAGAGAGAUGAAAACAUUGUAUGUGCAAGUAAACAAAUCAGAAUAUGAAAACAAGAGAAAAUAUGAAUCAGAAUAAUAAUCAUUCUGAAAAUAUGAAUACAAUGAAGACUGAGAAGCAGUGAAAAGACAAAGAAAAUCAAAAUAAAAUGUCGGGAGACUAGAUGAUGAUGAAGAAAAGGAUGAGGGAUAGGAAGACUGAAAGAUAUGUAAGAGGAAGAAGAAGAAGAAGUAGAAGUAGAAGUCAAAGACGAUGAAGAAAAAGAAGGAAAAAACAAGGAAGAAAAAACUCCGAAAGAUGAAUAAGAGGAAGAAGAGAAAAAUGAAUUCAAUGGAAAGAAGAAGAAUAAAAAUUCGAAGAGAAAGAAGAAAAAUACAUUGAAAUGGGAUAAAAAAGAAGAAUACGAGUAAACCCGGAAAAAAAAUUUCAGGGGAAAGAAUUGAUCAAACACAUCAAAAAAGAGUAAGAAAAAUACGAAGAAGAAAAAAAUAAAAGAUAAGGAAUAUGAAGAAGAGUUGAACAAAGAAGGAGAAAACAAAGAAGAAGACAAAUAAGAAGAGAAAGAAGAAGUAGAAAUAAAAAGAUGAGGAAUAAGAAAAGCGAAAAAUAAAUAAGAAAAAGAAGAAGAAAAGGCAAAGGCGAUAAAAAAUAAUUUCAUUUUAUACAUGAUUCUUCUGAUUGUUUAUAUGUAUUGUAACUAUCUAAGCUUUUGGCUAUAACUGGUCAUUGGUUUUUGUUGUCUUACAGUGUAUAGGUACUUCCUCUCUUCCCUUGUAUAUUUGUACGUGAUUAUCGUGACAUUUCUACGUAGGUAUUAGAGUAUUGAUACUUACGAUCUAAUUACACAUAUAUUGGAUGGUUGGAAGACAAUGAAGAAAAAUAAUAAAAAAAAAGAUGAUAAAGAAGAACAACCAAAAGAUAAAGAAGAAGAAAAAGAAGAAAACGAAUAACCAUUAUGUGGAAAUGAAAAAUUCGUAUUUGUAUUAGUUUAGUUUGUUUGUAAGUUUUAUACAUUUAUUUAGUAUUGCAUUUUGGGUGUUUCAUUUUAUGGAUUUGUUUUAUUUUGGUCAUAUUAAGUCACAAUUGUUUUGAUUUUCUUGAUUCACAUAAUAUAAAGUUUUGUUUUACAAUUUUAAAUCUCUCAAAGGUCCGCGCAAGGAGCUGACAAGACACCUAGUUUUAAUUUAAAUAAAAACAGAUUUUAUUUGAAUUCAAAAUGAUUAUUGGUAAGCCGGUGAUCACUUUGUAUUUUAAAACUUAAAAUUUUUUUUUAAGUUAAUACUCUUCUUCCCUAAAUAUUAAAAAAAGAAUGGGCAUUAUGACAAUCUUACUUUGUCUUGUAAAGAAAAAACUUAUGUUUUUCCUAACUCGAACGUUACAUCAUUAAUCGAAAUUAAAAUGUUCGACCUGAUAAAGAUACAUUCCAAACACGAGAAGCAAACGUAGCUGCGUAUCUUCUAUCAUAGCUGUAUCAAGUAUUGAGUAUGGUAAUCGAUUUGUAUUAUUGAUGAAGUAUAGUCACAAUAUAUACAAGAGGAGAGGCCAAUAUACAACGGUAAUCUACAUUAACUAUAUGAGCGAUUAUAGGAGAUGAUUAUAGGAUAUGAUGAGAUAUGAGGAAUAUGUGUUUCCAUAUUCUAUCACACCCACUCAAGAUGGACGGCCUGGUGAGAGUCUGAUCUUGACAAAAAGAGUUUGUAAUCGAGCUCGGGAGAGUGGUGUCGUGAGAGCAUCAGCCAACUGAUCCGGAGAUGUGACAUGAGUAACUCGCAGCUGGCCAGGCUGAACAAACUGGCGUACGAAAUGGUAGUCUAAAGCGAUAUACUUCAUCCUAGAAUGAAAAACAGAGUCUAUUGCUGCCAAAUAUGUAGCUCCUAUGUUGUCAGAAUAAAUGACUGGAGUGGAGGUGACAUUGAGGCCCAAUUCUGAUAGGAGAGAUGAAAUCCAGCAAACUUCAGCAGUGCUAGACGCGACUGAGGUAUUCAGCUUCGGUAGAAGAGCGAGAGACCCCAGUUUGUUUCUUCGAGGACCGAGCAAUGGGAUGACUUCCGAAGUAGACAAUAUAAGCAUUUGUGGAUGUGUAGUCGUCUUUGUUACCCACUCAAUCAGCAUCGGUGAAGGCAUGCAGAUCUGGUUUGUUGUUCGCUCGUAGAUAGAUGCCGUGAGAUAUAGUACCAGAGAGGUAGCGCAGGAUUCUUUUUACGGCAGUCCAAUGUUCAGUGGUCGGACGAUGCAUGAACUGAGAUAGUUUGUUAACAGAGAACAAGAUAUCAGGCCUAGUAAGGGAGAGAUAUUGAAGACUCCCCACAAUAAUUUGGUAUUCUGUUGCAUCAUCUAAGGCAGUACCGGAGAGAAGAGUGAGCGAUGAGUUGGCUUCCAUUGGUGUUGAGACAUGUUUAGCAUUGGUCAUGUUGGCCUUGUGCAUUAAAUCUGCAAUAUAACGACGUUGUGUUAGGUGUAGUCCAUCUUUCGUACGAGUUACCUUAAUACCUAAAAAUAAGAUAAAUCACCUAAGUCUUUAAGGGAGAAACGUUGAGAAAGGGAAGCGAUAAACCGAGAAAUAUGAGAGGAACUGUUGCCAGUGAUUAUGAUUUCGUCGACAUAAACAAGCAUGUAGAGAAGAAUGUCGUUCUGCUUAUAUAUGAACAGAGAGGCAUCAGCGACAGAGUUUGUGAAGCUGGAUUGAGGGAGAAACGUGCACAGCUCAUUGUACCAAGCUCUUGGAGCUUGUUUAAGGCCGUAGAUGGCUUUAUGGAGUUUGCAUAUUGCUUGUGGAUUUUCUUUGUCUUGGAAACCAGGCGGUUGGAUCAUAUAAACUUCAUUUUGAAAAUGUCCUUGUAAGAAGGCAUUGUUGACGUCAAGUUAUCGCAUCGACCAAUUCCGUGAAAAAGCUGUUGCGUCUACCACUGCUGAAGUUUGCUGGAUUUCGUCUCUCCUAUCAGAAUUGGGCAUCGAUGUCACAUCCACUCUAGUCAUUUAUUGUAACAACAUAGGAGCUACAUAUUUGGCAGCAAACCCUAUUUUUCAUUCUAGGAUGAAGCAUAUCGCUUUAGACUACCAUCUCGCACGUCAGUUUGUUCAGUCUGGUCAGCUGUGGGUUACUCAUGUCACAUCUGCGGAUCAGUUGGCUGAUGCUCUCAUGAAACCACUCUCCCAAGCUCGAUUCCAUACUCUUUCUAUCAAGAUCGGACUCUCACCAGGCCAUCCAUCUUGAGGGAGUGUGAUAGAAUAUGAAAACACAUAUUCCUCAUAUCUCGUCAUAUCCUAUAAUCAUCUCCUAUAAUCGCUCAUAUAGUUAAUGUAGAUUAACGUUGUAUAUUGGCCUCUCCUCUUGUAUACAUUGUGACUAUACUUCAUCAAUAAUACAUAUCGAUUACCAUACUCAAUACUUGAUACAGCUAUGAUAGAAGAUCAGCAGUUACGUUUGCUUCUCGUGUUUGGAAUGUAAUCUUUAUCAGGUUGAACAUUUUAAUUUCGAUUAAUGAUGUAACGUUCGAGUUAGGAAAAACAUAAGUUUUUUCUUUACAAGACAAAUUAAGAUUGUCAUUAUGCCCGUUCUUCUUUAAAUAUUUAGGGAAGGAGAGUAUUAACUUACUCAAACUCGAAAGGAAAAGCAAUGGUGUAGUAUAGGAGUAUCCAUUAACGAUCUGUAACGAACAUUACUAAACGACUCAUGUUUCAAAUGAAGAAAAUUAUAAUUUACUAACAAUUAUUUUGGGUAUAUCUUACGGUCUUACAUGGUGUUUAAAACUCUCUUAUCCUAAGAUAUAACAACAAAAUACCAUAUUCGUAUUCAUUUAGUAUAAUCUUUUUUUUUUCCUUACUUUACCGUUACAUCAUUCAAGCAAACAACACCUUUUGAUCAACACAAUAAUAGAACACACAAAUGAAUUACAGAACGUGAGUAGUGUUAAAAAGAGAAAAUUUUACUUGACAACAAAUCAAAUGAGAAUUUUCACACAAAAACAAGAAAAAAAAAAGAGAGAAAACUUAUUACCCUGAAAUUGAAUAUUCUAUUUUCAGAGAAAUAUGAAACACUCUACGCAACAAGCGGGUUCUCUAACAAUUCCUCAGUGGUAUAACCGUAAUUCUGAUACUGUUGCUGAUCCGACCCGUUUUUGCUCGGAUCUAGCCUAACCCGAGCCGGAGGCUGAUUGUUUUUCAUAGUCCCUGCCCCACCCACCCGACUCUGAUUCGAAUCCAUCAUGGAUCUGUUCGUUGCCGGUGAUCUCGUCCUUCUUCCGGAUCUCUCACCAUUACACGUACCCGAACCGAAUCUCGCUCCAUUACACGUACCGGUGUUUCUCUUACGAGGAGAUUGAUCGGUUCUUCUUCGGGUCGGGUAAUUAUUCCCUGUGACCCGGGUCCAAGAUUUAGCCGGAGAUCUCUGAGACAUGACUAUAAACCACCUCGACCUCACGAAGAUUCGCCAUACUCACCAGCAAUGGCUUUUCUUCAAAACCGAGAAUACACAGAUAAUUGAUGCAGUUAGCCAACCUUGGAUCGCCUAUGUGGAGUAGUUGUCGUUUUGGUGUCUAAGUCGUUUCUUAAUGGGCUUGCGACAUCAGGUGGGCUUCUACGUUUUACAAGUCUCGACUAAAAACAAGAGCUGGGCCUUACGGGAAAAUUGGCCCGAGCUCAAGGUUGUUAAAAACAAUCAUCGUUGACCAAGUCUUCGUCUUCUACAAUUGGAAUAACAGAACAGAGAGAGAGCGAAUUCUACAGAGUUCUAGAGAGAGAAAGUUUUCUUCUCGGUGAUCGGAGUUACAGCGAUCGGGUUGGUCGAUCUCGGAGGUCUCUGCGUCGAUUCUUUUCCAAGAGUUUUCCCUGCAAAUAGCUGUAGAAAGAUUCAGCAAAAGGUUCACUUGUAUAUCUGUUCUAAACGUUGAUAUAGUGAACGCAUGGUAGUUUAGUUCUACCCCCAGACGUACCGCGAGGGAACUGGGUUAACAAGUUUGCCUGUGUCAUUAGUCUAGAUUCUUCCGCAAGAACACCUUAGUUGAAUCUAGCUCAAUCGAAUUGAUCAAGCUUUUGGGACUAAGAAAUUGAUUCUAGUGUUAGUCGGAUUUCUUAACAAAGUGGUAUCAGAGCAUAGGCUUAUAGAUCGCCGGAGGGAUUACGGUUAAGUGAUCAGGGGGCGAUCUUGGAUCUGAGUUCGAUUGGUUAUCUUUGAAAUUCCUGAAGUCAGUCGAGUUUCUUCUUGGACCAAGUUAUUACUGCAUUCUUUUGGUCUUGGCUCAAGAACAGGAAAGAUGGAAGCAGUUAAGAAGUUUGAGAUGGAGAAGUUUGAUGGCAAAGGUGAUUUCGGUAUGUGGAAGUUUCGCAUGUUGAUGCAACUUGAGUUGCAAGGUUUUGGGAAACAAGUAAAGGAAAUCACAGGAGAGGUUAAGGAUGACACAAAAGGCAAGGACUUAGAAGAAGUGGACUCUGAAACAGGUGUGGCGUUAACUCCGGACCAGAUCAUAGAAAGAGAUGUGAGAAUCCGGAAUCUCAUAUGCUCAAGCUUAACAUCAAUGGUCCUCAGAAAAGUCAUGAAGGAAACGACAGCAGCUGGUGUGUGGAAAGCCUUAGAGGCUGAUUAUCAGACGAAGACUCUACCUAACAGAAUCUAUCUCAAGCAACGGUUUGCAAGUUACAGGAUGGACAAGAAUAAAUCAAUAGAUGAAAACAUGGAUGGUUUCUUGAGACUGGUUGAUGAGUUGGAAAGUUUGAAUAUCCAGAUAAGCGAUGAAGAUUAAGCCAUUCAAGUGUUGUCCGGGUUGCCCGAACAGUAUGCUUCUUUGGUGCACACAUUGAAGUAUGGAAACAAAGGCAAGGAUACCCUGACACUAGCUGAAGUGGUGCAAUCAGCUCACGCAAAGGAGGUGGAGCUUCGUGAGUCUGGUCUCUUGAAUAAGUCAAACCACACAUCAGAAGGGUUAUACGCGGGUCAAGGAAAGUCUGUAAAGAAAAGCAAAGGAAAGUUUGCUGGGGGAAAACAGAAGUCUGGGAAAUCAAAGAAGGAUUCCCAGGGAGGACAAGUCAAAGCACGAGAGUGCUGGGUGUGUGGCAAGGAAGGUCAUUUUAAGAAAGACUGUCCACAAAAGAAAACUCAGGCAUCCUCAAGCUCAGCAAAUUUGGCUCAAGAAAGUGAGAAACCAAUGAUUCUCACGGCGAGCACAAAAUAUGCUAAAGACGAGUGGGUGCUGGAUUCAGGGUGUACGUUUCACAUCACACCAGAAAAGGAUCUACUAUUUGAUCUCACGGAAUUUAAUGGAGGAAAAGUGUUAAUGGGAAAUAACACAUUUAGUGAGAUCAAAGGUAUAGGAAAACUGAAGAUUGUUAAUCCAAGCAAUUCAACAGUUGUUCUAACUGAGGUAAGAUACAUGCCAUCAAUGGGCAGAAAUCUGAUUUCCUACGGACAGUUGGAAAAGGAAGGAUGUUCUUAUGAAGGGAAAGAUUUCACGGUCACAUUCAAAAAGGAUGGGAAGAAUGUUCUUACUGGAAAGUAUAAAGACGGGCUCUACUACUUACAAGGGUCAGUAGUUGAAGGAGAGGUGGAUACAGUUUCUAGAGCUGCGGUUAAUCUGACAAACAGGUGGCAUUCCAGGUUGGGGCACAUGAGCUUAAAGAAUAUGAAUCAGUUGGUUAAAGAUGGUUAUCUUAACAAAAAGGAAGUUCAUACUCUGGAUUUUUGUGAAGAAUGUGUUCUUGGGAAAGCACACAAGUUAAGUUUUCCAACAGGCAAGCAUACAUCAACCGUGAACUUAGAAUAUGUUCACAGUGAUCUUUGGGGAUCUGCAGCGAAUUCUGAGAGCUUAUCAGGCUGUAAAUAUUUCUUGACCAUCAUUGAUGACUAUUCCCGAAAGGUCUGGAUCAGAUUUCUAAGGAGUAAAGAUGAAGUGUUUGGAAAUUUUUCAGAAUGGAAGCUCUUGGUGGAAAAUCAGACGGGUAAAAAGAUCAAGUGUCUCAGGACGGAUAAUGGGUUGGAAUUUUUCAAUGUUCAAAUGGACAAGAUAUGCAAGGACUCAGGAAUAAAGAGGCAUAGGACCUGUACCUAUACUCCACAGCAAAAUGGGGUUUCAGAAAGGAUGAACAGGACCAUUGCUGAUAAGGUUAGGUGUAUGUUAGCGGAAUCUGGAUUGGAGAAAAAGUUUUGGGCAGAAGCAGCAUCUACAGCAGUAUAUCUCAUCAACAGGACACCUAAUGCAUCACUUAAGUUCAAGAUACCAGAAGAGUUGUGGUCAGGGACAAAAAUCGGAUAUGAUCAUCUCAGAAGGUUCGGGUGUAUAGCUUAUGUUCAUACUAUUCAAGACAAGAUCAGUCCUCGGGCUUUAAAAGGUAUUUUUAUGGGGUAUCCUCAUGGAACCAAGAGUUACAGGAUCUGGUUGUUAGAAGAACAAAAGACUACAAUCAGCCGAAAUGUUAUCUUUGAUGAAUCCAGGGUGUAUAAGGAUUUGGGGAAAAAUGAAGAAGAAAGCCUUGAACUUAGUGAAAAGGUUGUCAUUAACCCAAAGACUAAGAAGGUCCCAGGCUCAAGGGUCACAAGAGUAAACAGAGCAGGCUCAUCUGGAAGGAGACGAUCUACGGUUCAAGGUGGAGCUGUUUCAGUUGAGUCAGAAGAUUCAGAUACCGAAGAAAAUGGGUCUGAGGGUGAUCAAGAAGAUGGUUCUGAACAGGAAAAUGCAGGGGUGGAAGAAAAUCUAGAUAACUAUAUCUUAGCUAGGGACAGAGAAAGAAGAACGAUUCGUCCCCCAGCAAUGUUUGAAAGUGGGGACUAUGUUGCUUAUGCCCUAGCAAGUGCAGAAUUGAUUGAACCUCAAGAACCGAGAACUGUUUCAGAAGCGAGAAGAAGUAAAGAGUGGAAACAGUGGAAUGAGGCCAUGGUAGAGGAGAAGCAAUCUCUUGAUAAAAAUCACACAUGGGACAUUGUGGAUAGACCUCAGAAAAAGAAGAUCGUUGGUUCGAAAUGGAUUUUCAAAUUGAAAGAGGGAAUUCCAGGAGUUGAACCACCUAGAUACAAAGCAAGACUUGUAGCUAAGGGAUUCACUCAGGUGGAAGGAAUAGACUACAACGAGAUCUUCUCUCCAGUAGUGAAACAUGUCUCGAUAAGGAUAAUGCUAUCAGUGGUUGUGAAUUUCGAUAUGGAACUCGAGCAACUAGACGUGAAGACUGCAUUCCUUAAUGGUAAACUAGAUGAAACUAUUUACAUGGAACAACCAGAGGGUUUUAUCGAGAAAGGAAAUGAAGGAAAGGUAUGUCUGUUGAAGCGGUCUCUUUAUGGUUUAAAACAGUCGCCGAGACAGUGGAAUCACAGGUUCAAUGAGUUCAUUCAGUCACAAGGUUUUAAGAGAAGUGUGAAGGAUCCAUGCGUGUAUUACAAAGGUUCAGUUGUGGAGGAUAGUGUCUACUUGUUAUUAUAUGUUGAUGACAUGUUAAUAGCAGCUAGAGACAUGGUGAAGAUCAGGGCACUAAAGAAGAGUUUGAGUGCAGAAUUUGAAAUGAAGGAUCUUGGAGCAGCUAACAGAAUUUUGGGAAUGGAGAUCAUAAGAGACAGGAAAAAGGGAAUUCUGAAGCUUUCACAGGCAAGAUACAUAAGUCAAGUUUUAAGGACGUUUAACAUGAAAGAAAGUAAGCCUGUUGUCACGCCAAUAAACUCAUUGUUCAAACUUAGAAGUUUAUCAGAGGAGGAGUUAAGGGUUGAAGCUUCUCUAAUGGAAUCAGUUCCCUAUGCAAGUGCAGUGGGAAGUCUGAUGUAUGCCAUGAUUGGGUCAAGACCGGAUUUGGGUUAUGCAGUUUGUUUGGUGAGUCGGUUUAUGGCAAAGCCAGGAAGGAAUCAUUGGGCUGCUGUUAAAUGGGUUUUGAGGUAUCUUCGGGGAGCUACAGAUUUAAGUUUGACUUUCUCAAGGGCUGAUUCAAUGGAAAUUGAAGGUUUCAGUGAUUCAGAUUAUGCUACUGAUCUUGACAGAAGAAGAUCAGUAACAGGUUAUGUUUUUCAGGUUGGAGGAAAUACUGUUAGUUGGAGGUCCACAUUGCAGCAUGUAGUGGCUUUGUCCACCACAGAGGCUGAAUAUAUGGCCAUGUCAGAAGCAACUAAGGAAGGUUUAUGGUUAAGGGAAUUUUGCAACGAGUUGGGGUUUAAUUUUGAGUAUUUUAAGCUACAUAGCGACUCUCAGAGUGCUAUCAAUUUGGCUAAAAAUGCAGUUCAUCAUGACAGGACAAAGCACGUUGCUACCAAGAUUCAUUUUAUCCGAGACAUCCUAGAUGAAGGGCUAAUCCGCAUUGUUAAAGUUCACACUACUCUAAAUCCGGCAGAUAUGUUGACUAAGAGUUUACCUGGAAAUUCUUUCGAGAAGUGCCUCGUAACUCUCAAAGUCGUCGCCUGAUCGUCUACAGGCGUACUCGUUGAUGGCUCUGUUGGUUGGGCCAUCUCGCACGAGAAAUAAGGAGGAACAGGGUUAGUUUCUCGGUGGAAAAGAUUAAACCAACAAAGUUCAGAAGGUAAAUUCUGAGGUAUCUGGUAAAAGAUAAACAGGAGAAGAGUUUUGGUGUACAUGCAUGUGUUGAGGGGACUUACUUAGCACAAGGAGGAAGCGCAUCGUACUCUUGCAUCUCGGCCUGAGCUGUUUUUUCUCGGGAUAAGGAGAAGUCACGGCGAAGAAGAGAUAGAAGUUAGUAUAACUUCGUGUUUCUAAUUCUAAGAUCUGAAGAGAAGUUCAGAGGUCACUUACUUAGAGGAGAACUGAAGUCGAUUGGAGCUGGAGGCGGCGGUAAGGUCAGCGACGGUGAGGUCGGAGGAACCAAGGUCGUGAGCAGGAUCGAUUCAGGAGGUGUUUGCGGUGGAGUAGCUGGAGGAGUCAAAGGAGGUGACUCCAUAACCUAAGUCGCUGUUGAGUCGGCUAGGGUUGGUGAAGAGACAAGACAACGACAAAGGUGGAGAUUUGUGGAGUAGUUGUCGUUUUGGUGUCUAAGUCGUUUCUUAAUGGGCUUGCGACAUCAGGUGGGCUUCUACGUUUUACAAGUCUCGACUAAAAACAAGAGGAGCUGGGCCUUACGGGAAAAUUGGCCCGAGCUCAAGGUUGUUAAAAACAAUCAUCGUUGACCAAGUCUUCGUCUUCUACAAUUGGAAUAACAGAACAGAGAGAGAGCAAAUUCUACAGAGUUCUAGAGAGAGAAAGUUUUCUUCUCGGUGAUCGGAGUUACAGCGAUCGGGUUGGUCGAUCUCGGAGGUCUCUGCGUCGGUUCUUUUCCAAGAGUUUUCCCUGCAAAUAGCUGUAGAAAGAUUCAGCAAAAGGUUCACUUGUAUAUCUGUUCUAAACGUUGAUAUAGUGAACGCAUGGUAGUUUAGUUCUACCCCCAGACGUACCGCGAGGGAACUGGGUUAACAAGUUUGCCUGUGUCAUUAGUCUAGAUUCUUCUUUCCGCAAGAACACCUUAAUUGAAUCUAGCUCAAUCGAAUUGAUCAAGCUUUUGGGACUAAGAAAUUGAUUCUAGUGUUAGUCGGAUUUCUUAACAGCCUAAUAUAUGCUUCAAACCCAACUCGGUAGAGAUCGUUUUGUCUAGAACUUGUAGAUACUCCAAGGGCUGCAGCUCCGUCAACAAGCUAACAUCUCCAUGAACUUUAGAAUCUUCUAGUUUCAAAAUUCUUAAACUCGACAGCUUUGAUAUCCCACUGAUAAUAUGAUUUAACUUCAGAUAAAUUAGCUUUUUCAUAUCUUGGAAACCAAGUGCCAGUUGCUCUAUACUUGUGUUCCACAAGUUAAGAUACUGCAACGAAGCCAGCUUCGAUAUCUGCUCAGGAAAUUCUUUGAAAUCGAAAUUAUCUGAUAGAUCCAAAACAACUAGCUUUUGCAUAGAGCCGAUGAAUUCACCUAGAAAUUUCUUCAAACUAUUAUUCUGGAGGAGCAGAGUUGUAAAGUGUUCUGAAGAGUUGUAAGUUCAGAACACUUGGAACCGCAUGUUAUCUCUUCAAUAUUAUUUUUCAGAAAUCCUUCUCAUAUCUCCCCAAUCCUUAAAUUUUGGCAUUUCGCAUCAUCUGACUCCUGCUUGUAUUAAGAGAUAUUAGAAGAUAUUAGGCUUAUUGGACGUUGUAUAGAUAAUUAUUAGAAUUAUUAGAGUAAUUUGUUGAUCUCCAACAGGUUUUGACUCAAAAACGUUUUGACACAACUGACUCUUAAGAAAAACAAACACAAUGUCAGCAACUACCUCCCCCAGACUUGAAUAACACUGUCCCCAGUGUUAUCUAGUCCGAAGGUGGCGAAACAAAAUAAAAGAAACAGAGAAACGCAGGAAAAACAGAGAACUUACCUGGCUGCAAUGAUGGUGUCGCGCGACACUGAUGAUGGUGUCGUGCGACACUUGUUUUCCUCGUACCGAAUUGCAGCAGACCAAUCCGAAUUUCUGGUUUGACUCCGGUUGCCUGAUUUCCUAAAUUUCUUUUUUUUUUUUUAAAUAGAAGCAAGUGACAAGCGACACCGAAGGUGGUGUCGCUCGACACUAACAUCUGCUUCACCUGAGACACGAAAAGAAAAACGAAAAUCAACUGAAACAAAAAGACUUAUGCACAGACUCACCAGUGGAUUGCCUUCCACCAAGCGCUUGUUUAAAGUCAUUAGCUUGACUAUGGAUAGACUAUGCAUCUGGUGGAUCAGACAGUGGCAAAGAGUGCCUCUGUGAAAUUCGUCUCAUCCAUGGUGGUGUGUAAGCGUUGUGCGCAUGAGGUCGUCCAAGGAAUGCAGGAAUAGCACCAGGGUGAGAUCUGUGUUUGGGUGGCCUUGACCUAUUCCCUGCAAUAUCAUCAAACGAAAAACCAAGUGCUCUACGAUAAUCUCGUAGCUUGCGUUGUGAGACAGAGCCUGCAUCCUUUGAAUCAGUUCCAAUGAUAUCACGAGAAUUAGGCUUAGGCUCAAGAGGUGCGUAUCUUUGCUUUGGUGGAGAUGGAUGGAGUGCAAUGUUUGGAGCUUCCUGAUCAACAGCAGUCACUGGUUCUGUGGACGUUUUCGUCAACUCAGAUUGAUCUCUCACCAUCUCAGCAUCAAACACGUUCUGAUCUCCAACUAUCACCUCAGGUAUUGCAGUGACUUGGAAUGUCUGACCAUCUAUGGUGGGAUCCUUCAGAUCUUCCCAGGAUAAGAGGAUCUUUGGGUUCCUCUCCAUAUUGCAGAACCACGAAAUCUGUAGGAAUUAUGCAAUCACCAACUUUGAUUGGAACAUCUUCCAAGACACCUUUUGGGAUUCUUUUAGACCGAUCUGCUAGGAUCAAAGAGAUCUUAGUUGGCUUGAAGUCAGUCAUCCCAAGGCUAACAGCUACAGAGUGUGGCAUGAGGUUGACACUCGAACCAAGAUCACACAGCGAUCUCUUGAACCUCUCUGAGAAGAUAGAGCAGUCCAAAACAAAACUUCCUGGGUCCGAGAGCUUUUCUGGAAUCUUAUUAUGAAUCACAGAACUGACAUGUUUAGAGAUCAUCAUCGCUCCUUCCUCAUGACCCACAUUAUUAGUCACCAUCUUCUUCACAUAGUGUCUGAGAGUAGGAGCAAUCUUCACAGCAUCAACCAAAGGAAUCUCAAUCACAAGCUUCUCCAUCAAAAACUUGCAUCUGGCAUCAUCUAGCUCCUGCUUGGACUUCCUAGGACUCCUUGGGUAAGGAACCUUAGGUUUGUAAACCUUUUCCUCAGCAGAUUUCGGACUUUGAGCAAUAUUAGCUUUGCUCUGCAAUUGGUGACGCGCGACACUGGUUGUGGUGUCGCUCGACACUGGCUCUGCAGUUUCGAAAUUUUUUUCAGAUUCGUCAAACUCCACGAUUUCAUCCUCAAAAACACCCUUUUUCAGCACAGGAGUCAACUUUUUACCACUCCUUGACGAGAUGGCACUGCAGUAAUGCCUAGGAUUGGUAUCAGUCUUCCCAGGAAGGAAUCUUUCUUGCCUUUUUACAGACUCUGCAGUCUGAGCAACCUGAGUAUCAAGCUUCUUGACAUGAGUGUUCAGAACUUCAAUUUUUCCAUUCAGAUCCAGAUAUAGAGCAUCAAUCUUCCCAUUGAAAUCCACAGUCAUCUUCUGCUGACCUUCCAAAAUCUGUUCCAGCAUAGACUUCACCUCAUUAUCUGGAGUUUGAGUAGGAAGAGAACCAUAGUUCCUUGAAAACCUGUUGUUGGAGUAGGAUGUCUGGUACUGAGGUUUGGAGCUGUAACCAGAAGAGUUCUGAUUACCUGUGAAGGUACUCCUCUGAUUAUUUCCAUUGUAAUUCGUGUUCCCUUGCCCAGAACCAAAUCUCUGACCCUGAAAUCCAGCUCCAUUGAUGAAGUUAACAUCCUCUUCCUCAAAAGCUUCAUCUGGUCCGAAAUUCUGAACUCCUGCAGGGUAUCUGACAGAUUUCUUACCCACAAGAAGACUAUGCACAGAGUCAAGCUUAGCCUUCACCUCAGCAAUUUGCGAUCCAUCCAGGUUCCCAGCCUGCUUCCUUCGCCGAUAGUCUGCAUUCUUGGUACUAUUGCUAGAUGCCAAGUUUUCGAUGAGCUCAACAGCUUCGUCUGGGUAUCUGGUGUUGAAGUUUCCAUUGCUCGCUGCAUCAAGAGCCAUCUGAUACCUCCAGUCGAUACCUCUAAAGAAAAUACCCAGCAACUGCACAUCGCUGAAGCCAUGAUGGGGACAGUCUCGCUGGUACGAUUUGAAUCGCACCCAGGAAGCUUUGAACGCUUCAGUUGGUUCCUGAGAGAAUGUCGAAAUUUUCGUCCUCAACUCCUCAGACCUAGCAUCAUCGAAGAAGUUGUGCAGGAAAGCAUUCCUGGUCUCUUCCCAAGUAGUGAGUGAUCCUGGCUCCAACUGCUUCAACCAGUUAGCUGCCUCUCCAGCAAGAGAGUAAGGAAACAGCUUGCAGAGGAGGAAAUCAUUGGACACUCCAUUGUAUUUGAUGCUGGUGACCAAGUCCUCAAACCUCUCGAUGUGAUCCAUAGGGUGCUCAUGAGAAAGACCAUGGAAAGGAUGCUGACCCACGAGAGUGUAAUACACAGGCUUGAGCUCAAAAUCAUUCCUCUGAAACGCAGGAGCGCGAAUCGCAGACCGAUUUGCAUAGAAUUGCUCAGGCCUGUUGUAGUCACCCAGCGUCCUGAUGAUGUUACCCUGUCCAUCAAGUCGCUGGCCUCUCUCAUUGCACACAUGACCCUCUCGGUCUCUCCAGAUUCUAUCAUCAUCACGAACAAGUCCAAUGGCGUUUUCCAUCAUUGCCGGAUCUCUUGCUUUCCUGUUCGUUCGCUCUAACUCAGCUAGCUCCUCGUUGCUCAAAUUAACUAGCGGGAUGUCCUUGUUGCUCCUGGUUCCACGAGUAUGCAUAAACCUGAAACACCAAAAACAAAGAGAGAAAACGAGAUAAGUAAACUAGGUUAUAAAAAGAAGGGUGUCGCGCGACACUAGGUCGAAAAACUUAGUCGAAACUCAAAAACUAGGUUCAAUGGCGAAAUCAAGUCCCCGGCAACGGCGCCAAAACUUGAUCUGCUCAAAGUUUAAUCCCUAGAGCUACUCUGCAAGAGCACAGAUGUGCAAUUGUAGUAUAAUAGGGGUCGAACCACAGAGACGAGAGAUCACUCAAUAAACCUUAUAGAGAUUGAAUUACGCUAAGCAGAAAUAUUGUAAAUAAAUAGCAAUGCAACAGAAUUAGACUAAGCAGCAAUAAAAACGGUUUGUAAGAUUCAGAUGGAUGGAGAUUAGGCUUAGGGCGUUUCUCAGGAAAUCAAUGCAUGCAGAACAAUCGAUAAAUUAGGGUUCAGGUUUAAGCACGGUUCUUGAACUCGAAUCACAGAAUUAUAAUUAACCAACUUCCGUUGUGAGAAUUAUCUAAGUUAAAAUCCUAGAAUUCCAAAUUCCUUUGCAAACCCUAAAGAUUUAAACCAGCUUUAAUGCUCAAGUUCGAUAUGUUCACAAAGUAUCUAAACCAAAUUCCUUUGCGAAUAGCUACUUUGCUCACCCUAGGUUCUUUCCAGUUAUUCAAUUACACUUCCGUGUCAAUUAAGCAACCUAAGAUCUAAGUGCUAGGUGGCCAAUCCAGAAUUAGCUUUAAGAACAACCUAUGGUGAAGAACUAAAUAGAUUAUGAACCCUAACUAACCAAUCAAUCUAACAUCCAAUGAAAUCCUUUAUGAGAACCCUAAACCUAACAAGCAAACUACUCAGACAUGGAGAUUGAAGCAAUAAGCAUCAAUGAAUAGAUUGCAGAAAACAGUAAAUAGAUUAAUAAACAGGGGUUCGAAAUCUUCUCUCUCCGGAACAGAGUUUCAGACUUGUCUCCCCAAAAACUCUCAAAAACAAAAACUCUCUCUAAGAAAAUCUAAGGUAAUCGUAAAAAGGGAAUAAAAGCCCUAUAUAUAUCUCUAAGACACGUUUUGGGCUUCCUUGAAAACGUUUGGGCCCAACUCCUUCUUCAAAUAGGAAACAAAAUCACGUUUUCCUUAUUUCUGCAACAAGUGUCGCGCGUCACUCUCCAUGGUGUCGAGCGUCACUAAAGCACAAAAUCCAUACUUGACGAAUUUGAUCCUGAUUAAGCUCCAAAGUGCUCCAAAGUCUCCAGUUAAGCUCCAAACGUACCUAUGACCUGAAAAGACUCCAAAAGACUCGAAAGACACUAAAAAGACUCUAUAAAUAAGACUUAUACCAUGGUUAAAAACCAUAAAAACCAUGAUAUAUCAUUUGUCUCACAUUGCUAGUUUUUAACUCAAGGUUGACUAAUGUACGUAUUUUUAGGCAGAUGAAUAAAUCACUUCCGCAAAUUACUUUGACAUGGUAUCAGAGCCUAAGACUACAUAAAAUUUUGGUCUAGCUCUUGAAUCAGAGCCUAAGGCUACAUAAAGUUUUGGUCUAGCUCUUGAUUCAAAUUCUUGUUUAUAAGUUGUGGUUUAUUGGAAAAGCAAACCGACGAGGUCUUGCUCUUUUAUUUUUGGUGAACUCGGACCAACGAGGUUCGGGAUUUCUGUAAAGCCAUAAGGGCUUGGAAUUUUUUUAUUCGGUGGAGAAACCUUGGGAAUUUCUCUGUUUUUUAGAAAAUAUGAGAUUUCAGAGUUGAGGAAUUAAGUGUUCUUAUUGUUCGAAGUAUGGUCAUGAUAUGAGAUCAUGUUAUCAGGUAUAUGGAUAUCCAGAUUGGUAGCUGGAGAAGUAUGAAAAACCUACGAAACAUGUGUCACACUCUGAAAAACGUGUGUCACACACGGAGGCGUUACAGGUUGAUCCACAAGCUAUGACAGGGCUCAAGAAAGAUCAAUGGCAUAAGCUUGUUCGAUUCGAGAUUAGAGAUAGCAAAUUGUGUGAGUGAUAACACCUAUACAGAUAAGUGGAUUAUUGAUAGUGGUGCGUCGCACCAUAUGAUGGGUACGUUAAUUGGUAUGUUUGAUGUGCAUAAAGUCUCACCAUGUUUAGUGGGUCUGCCUAAUGGAAAUGUUAUGGUUGCUGUUAGAAAAGGAAGUGUGGCAUUGACGGAGAACUUAACUUUGACACAUGUGCUUUUUGUCAAGUAACUCAAGUACAAUCUCAUCUCUGUGUCACAGAUUAUUGAUCCAAUGAAUUGCAUUGUGUUGUUCUCCAAGCAAAUGUUUCGGAUACAGGAUCUUGCUUUGCAAAUUCUGAUUGCAGUGGGUGAAAGAAAAGAUGGAUUGUAUUUUCUUCAAGGUAUUCAGAAGACCGUGAAUGUGGCGAAGGUCAGUAAGUUGGGAUCUUUGGAACUUUGGCAUAAAAAGAUGGAACAUGCUUCUGAAAAGGUUAUUAGGAGAUUGCCAGAAGUGGAUCAAAAGAGUGUUAGUGUUUCCGAUUGCGAUGUCUGUUUCCGAGCAAAGCAGUGUCAGGAUGUAUUUCCUGUGAGUACAGAGAAAAGCAAAGAAUGCCUUGAGAUGAUUCAUUGUGAUUUGUGGGGGCCAUAUCGAACACAGAGCGUGUGUGGAUCCUUAUAUUUUUUAACUAUCGUGGAUGAUUAUUCUAGAACUGUGUGUGUUUUUCUUCUUGCUGAUAAAACACAAGUUCAUAAAACAAUGGUAAAUUUCUUUGCUCUCAUUCAGCGUCAGUUUGAGAAACAUGUGAAAAUCGUGCGAAGUGAUAAUGGUAGUGAAUUCAUGGGUAUGAAGGAGUAUUUUUGUACAUCAGGGAUAAUUCAUCAAACUUCGUGUGUAGGAACUCCUCAACAAAAUAGUAGAGUGAAGCGAAAACAUCAACAUAUACUGAAUGACGCACGAACGUUGAGGUUUUAGGCAAAUUUACCAAUAGAACUUUGGAGUUAUUGUGCUUUGAGUGCUGCGUAUCUAAUUAAUCAUACGCCUUCUAUGUUACACAAUGGUAAGAGUCCUUAUGAAAUCAUCUUUGGAAAAGCUCCUGCUUAUAGUGAGAUACGAGUUUUUGGAUGUUUAGCGUAUGCUCAUAAUCAGAAACGUCAUGGAGAUAAAAUUGCGAGUAGAAGCAUAAAAUGUGUAUUUUUGGGAUACCCUUAUGCAAAGAAGGGAUGGAACUUAUUUGACUUGGAGACACGUGAGAUCUUUGUUUCUCGGGAUGUCACUUUUAUUAAGGAACGAUUCCCAUAUUUGGAGCUAACAAAUGCACAGCUGGAUGUGCCUUCUAAUUCUAAUCAAAUGAGGUUAUAUGUGGAUGAUAAUGCUGGAUUUGACGAUAUAGAACCUGCCUUGACAAGGGAAAUUAUAUAACCUCUCACAAGAGAUACAAUGACACAGACUCAGGUUGUGUCAGACAAGGUUGCAGAAGAAAAAAAAUAGACUAUAGGAAACGAAAUACGUGAUAUCUUAGGAAUUACAGCGCCAAAAAUUGAACCUGCAUCGGUUACACAGUCUGAGAUUGUGCAGCCUGCUUUAGUGACAGAACCUGCAUUGGUUACACAGUUUGAGAAUGUGCAGUCUGCUUUAGUAACAGAACCUGCAUCGGUGACACAGGCUGAAACUAUGCAACAGCCUGCAUCAACAGAAACUUUGGGGCGAGGAAUGAGAAAGAAAGAAUCUUCUGUCAAGUUACGCGACUAUGUGUGCAAUACGACAUUUACAAUGAAUAUUUCCACUGUGAGUCAGGAGUUGAGUAAUGAUUAUGGUAUUGAGAAUUAUGUAAAUUGUGAAAGGUUCUCUGUGUCACACAAGGCAUUUCUGUGUAGUAUAACUGAAGGAGUUGUGCCGAAAAGUUUUGCUGAGGCCAUGAAGGAUCUGCGAGAUCUGCGAUGGAGAGAAGCUAUGAGACUCGAAAUUGAGGCCCAAGAACGAAAUCAAACAUGGUUGAUUGAACAAGUACCACCAGGUAAGCAUGUGAUUGAGUGUAAAUGGGUUUAUACAAUUAAGUAUAAUGCGGAUGGCUUGAUUGAAAGGUAUAAGGCGAGACUCGUGGCAUGUGGCAAUCGUUAAAAAGAAGGGAUUGAUUAUUCUGAUACAUUUGCUCCUGUAGCAAAGAUGAGCACAGUUCGAUUGGUUCUUCAAGUUGCCGCUGGGAAAAGUUGGGAGCUACAUCAGAUGGAUGUGUAAAAUGCGUUUCUUCAUGGAGAUUUGGAUGAAGAGGUUUUUAUGAGGGUACCUCAGAGUUUUGGUGCUUCUAAGAAGGGUAUGGUAUGUCGUUUGCGCAAGUCGUUGUAUGGUUUGAAACAAGCUCCGCGAUGUUGGUUCGUGAAACUUUCGAAGACAGUUUUAGGGUACGGUUUUACACAGAGUAAGGCUGAUUACUCUCUUUUCUCAUUAGUUUGUGAUAAAGUUCACUUGCACGUUCUAGUGUAUGUGGAUGAUCUUGUGGUGACAGGAAACUCUCUUGAGGUGAUACAAAAGUUUAAAACGUAUUUAAGCAAUUGCUUUCAUAUGAAGGAUUUGGGAAAAUUGAAAUAUUUUCUUGGAUUGGAAGUUGCAAGAAAUGCAGAGGGUAUAUACUUAUCACAGAGAAAGUAUGCUCUGGAUAUUAUUGCUGAUGUCGGUUUGCUUGGUGGUAGGCCUGUAGAGUUUCCGAUGGAGCAAAAUCAUCAGUUGGGAAGGUCGACGACAAAUAUUUUGAUUGAUCCAAAGAAAUAUUGGAUACUGGUUGGAAGGUUGAUUUACUUGGCUGCGACUAGACCAGAUCUUGCCUAUUCAGUUCACAUUUUAUCUCAAUUUAUGAAUGAGCCAAGAGAAGAUCAUUGGAUGGCUGCAUUGAGAGUUGUUUGUUACUUGAAAGGGUGCCCGGGAAUGGGGAUUUUGUUGAAAUCUGAUUGUAAUUUUCAUCUUACAGCUUGGUGUGAUUCAGAUUGGGCUGGAUGUCCAAUCACGAGGAGAUCUUUGAGUGGAUAGUUGAUAAAAUUGGGAAAUUCUCCUGUGUCAUAGAAGUCAAAAAAGCAAGAUGUUGUAUCAUGCUCUUCAACUGAAGCAGAGUAUCGAGCUAUGGUUUUGGCAUUGAAGGAGUUGAAGUGGUUAAAGAGUGUGUUGUUAACGAUGGGUAUUGCACAUUCUGGUCCAAUGGAUUUAUAUUAUGACAGUCAGUCUGCGCUUCAUAUUGCAGCUAAUCCUGUGUUUCAUGAGAGAACAAAACAUGUGGAGAUUGAUUGUCAUUUCAUUCGAGACGAUAUACAAGCUGGAAUUGUUCAGACCCAACAUGUUUCUACUACUCAACAGCUGGCGGAUAUCUUCACUAAAGCACUUGGAGGACGUCCGUUCAAAGGAAUUUUGUGCAAGUUAGACAUUCGAGAUCUUCAUGCUCCAACUUGAGGGAGGGUAUUAAGAGAUAUUAGGAGCUAUUAGGCUUAUUGCGCCUUUAUUUAUUAGAAUUAUUAGAGUAAUUUGUCUUACAUUGCUAGUUUCUAAGUCAAGAUUGACUAAUGUACUUGUAUAUAUAUGUGCAUUUAGGCUGAUGAAUAAAUCACUUCGGAAAAUUACUUUGACAUCUUGAACCAAAAAAAGUCUUGGAUGCAGUCCAUAGAGCCAUUUCGCGAACCACGUCAUGCAUCACAACACCUCUUCUACUAUUAGACUCUGUCAGUAAAUUUGAGUGGAUAAGGGUAUCAAGUACCACAUAACCCUUAUUCAUUGCCCUUUUAUAAGAUUUGUGUUCCCCCGAUGAAUCCCUCGCACAUCCAGUACUCUAUCAAUUCUUCUUUACUUAUUUGAAAAUCUUUUGACAAAGCACAAUAGAGGAAAUACGACUUGAUGUUGUUGAAACGUAAUCGUACUGAUUGAGCUCAAGCAACGACAAACUCUCACUCUAUUGAACUCUCUCUCUCUCUCUCUCUGAAGAUUCGCAUGAGUAUAAACGAGAGAAAGACGAAGAACACAGAGCACACGAUUUGAUUACCCAAAGUUCACCUCCUAGAUGAAGGCUACGUCUCUGGGGCCAGAUCUCGAGACGGCAAUUCCACUAACACGAAAAAAUCACAAGUCUCCAAGAACCGAGAGCUCGCGAGAAAGAAGACGAUAAGGUUUGUUACAACUGUGCUAACGGCUAGAUCCUAAUCCUUUUUAUAUACAAGAGGCUUACAACAAAACCGGAUAUUAACCAGAACCAAAUUAUAUCCUCUUAAUUGGACCAAUACUUGAUAACCAACUAAGAUGACUAACCAGUCUAAACCCAAACAUUAAUCUAGCCGUUAUACCAGAAUUGAAACUUAGACCAUAAUUCAACAGAUGUGUUCACCCACCAAGCUAUCAUAGCUGUACUUCAGAAUUAGAAGAAUUUUGUUUUCCAUGUCGGAAAACUCUGCAGCGGAUCUGGUCAAGACAUCGACUGCAAGCUCCCAUUCUUGUACCGUAGUUUGAUAUGACAUUGUCUCACCGAUGGCAAUUAGCGCUAGUGGCAGACCACAACAACUUUCAGCAACCUUUCUUGCGAGCUCGACAAUUUCAGGAUCACUUUUCAAAGUAUUGCCACCGACCAUUUUUUCAAACAAUUCCCAUGCUAUAUGUUUUUCCAGACAGUUGACUUGCAUUGGUUCAUGAUCCCCCAUCCGCUUACACACUUCGAGAGAACGAGUGGUGAAAGCUACUGUGCAUCCAUUGUGGGAAACGGAACACCAAUAGCUUCUAAAUCAACUUUCUCCCAUAUAUGAUCUAGCAUCAGAACAAAUCGCUUCCCUUUUAAAACUCUAGUUAUAUCAGCGGCCUUGUCACCUUCGUUUUUGUUCGUACACUCGCCGUCGCAAAGGUGUAGCUUUUGUGCAAUAUCUUCUUGAAGCUUUGAAAUAUUUGUGCCUUGAGAUACCACGACCCAGAUGAUAACUUGACACCCACCAGCCAUUUCACCGAACUUAUUGUGAAUUUUUUUUGAAAAGUGUAGUUUUUUCAACACCACCCAUACUGUGCAGGCCCAUGAUUCCGACUCCAUCUUUCAUAAGACGAUUCCAUGCCACUUCAAGCAUUAUUUCUAGGCCAAUCGUAGGCCCUGAAGGCCUGACUUCCACUACAGAUCUUGUAAGCGGCUCAGAUACCUCUUUAAAAUCACCUUCCAAUUUGAGAAUCUUAACUUCAUCCAACAACAAGAAUACAUUUUUCCCAAAUAGCUUGAGAAUACACUUUUUGAGCAUAAACCGCAGAGACACAACUUUGGAAGCUGAAUAGUACUAGUACUGAGCAGUUCAGUUACUCGUGUAUGGAUGCUCUCGACACAGUUACAAUAUAGAAGAAUCUAGAAGAUUCUAGAUAUUAUUGUUAAUAUUGUGUAUAUUAUUAUUUAGAUAUUAUAGAGAUUUGUAUCUAUCUUCUUUAGAAAAGAUCUAUGGUAUAAAUAUGUAUCUACUCUAUUCAUUAUAAUUAUGAGAGUCAAUAUACAUUACAAUUCUUCCAAUUCUAAACUCUCAUCACUCUAGUAGGUCAAGCCUUUUUCGAUGUUGUGUCUCCUCUAAUGCAACUCUGUUUUUCACCUGUUGUUGAAAUGCUUUGAGAUCUUCCAUUUCCCUCUGAAAAGUUCUUCUUGAGGUUUAGGAUAUAACCUUUACCAAGUAAGCAUCUAAAGAUACCAUUUACUGCUCCAUCACAAGAAAAAUUUGACACCCAAUUCUUAAUAGAUUAUAUGGUUACUGGUUUGUAGAUUUGUACAUUCUUAAUCGAUUCCACUAUUAUUCGUAAAUAGAUUAUAACAUUCUUUAAAAAUCCAUUGUUAUUGGUUUGAUGAUUUUUAUAAUCUAAUCAAAAUUCAUUGUUCUUCAAAAAGUUUAUAUUUUAAUGAUUUUAUAAUUAUAUUAAAAGCUAGUGUUAUUGGGAUAAAAAUUCUUUACAAUUCAACUCAUAAAUCAAGAUUUUUAAAAUACUAUCUAUAUCUAUUGAAUUCUUAAAAUCUGUCAUAGUAAAAUUAUUUUGUAAAUUGUUUUAAAUCCACAACACUCUCUUCAAAUUUUACAAAUCUAACAAAACUCUUGAAGAUUUGACUAAUCUUAUUACUUUUUAAAUCAACCAAAAUCUGUCAUAUGAUUUAAGGUGAUCCAGCUCUAUCUAUGCGCCACGUCAGCCUUUGUAAGGAGGACACAUCUCCCAUCUUUUAAUGCUUUUAUUUCAUCUUCUUCCCCCUCUAUUUUAUCUCAUAUUCCUUGUCUCACAGUGGCUCAAUCUCUCUUUUAUUUGUUUGCCAAUUUUGGGGAUUUGAAGACGGAAUAAAGAUUAAACUUUUUCUCAUAUUGUGUUCUAUGCAAUAUUCAAAUUAAGAUGAGAUGUGGAAAAAUCGUUAUAAAGAGGUUCUAGAAUGUGAAUAGCAGGCAAGUUACCUUCUCUAAGAGGCAUGAUGGGUUGUUUAAGAAGGCUCAUGAGUUAUUUGUUCUUCGCGACACUUUUAUCUCCGUCUUUUUACUCAUAUUAUGUUUAUGAUUUCUAGAAUAGUAGAAUAAUUUUCUUACUUACCCUACUUUCAAUCCUUAAAAAAAGUUAUUUGUUUGAUAAAGAUUUUAAUAAAAAAAAAACAAAUACCAAACAAUCAAGCAAAUUACCAUAUUUUUAUAAUUAACUACAUAUAUAUAUAUAUAUAUAUAUAUAUCAACACAAAUUAUUUUUAAAAAUAUUAUGUAAAACAAAACUCGCGCGUAUGCGCAGGUACAAGCCUAGCCUUUAUAAAUCCAAAUUCCAAUAACCUCUCUUAGCAUAAAUAAUAGAAAUGAUAAAACUAAAUAAAAUAAAUAAUUAACUUUAGAGUCGAUUACAACAUUCUCGAUUGUUAGACCAACAACAACUUCAUUUUGUUUUUUUUUUUGCAAAGUCUUAUAAUAUUCACCUUUUUUUUUAAAUAUUCUCCAAAAAAAUUUUAAUCAGAGAUUGAGUUGGAAAAAAAUAAAUUUUGGAAACAAAGAUUAUAAUUAGUUCAAAAAUGCUACCUUUUAAAAAAUGAUGAGUAAAAUAGAAGACAUUUCUUCUUAUAUAGAGGCUAAUCGUAGGGAUUCCAAUUAUGUUAUAUAGAUUUUCAAAAAUUUUGAUUUUUUAAAAAAUAAUCAGUAAUAAACAGAAAAAAUAUAAAAUAUGUUUGAUAACUAUAUUAGGUAACAACCAAAUUUCAUCUGCAUUAUAUUUGAAAAACUUAUAACUGAUAUUUUUGCAAGAUAGAUUUUUGUUUUUGUCUUGAAUAUUUUUUUUUAAAUGGUUAAACUACAAUGAUUUUUCCAAAAGUAUAAAAAAUCAGAAAAUAAUCGAUAAAAAUAUUGAAUGCAUAGUUUUAGUUAAAUAUUUUUCAAUUAUAAGCAAAUAGUUUUCGUCUCAUGCGCCGCGUGAACCGUGAAGUAUCUAUAAAAUAUUACUAAACAUGAUUUAAUUGAUUUAAAAUAUAAAUAAUUUAAUUGAUUUUAUAUGUAUGUUAAUAAUAUUAUGAUGAGUAAUGAUAUGAUUUUGUAUUAGUAUUACAAUUACAAAUAUAUAAUAGAACUAUAAGAUUUUAUUAUUGAUUUUCAUAUUGCUUUUGUUUUUCUUUUUUUUGUCGACUGCUUUUGUUUUAAAUAUGAAUGUAAUUAUAUAGUUAAUAGUUUAACUGAAAAAUCGAUAUAUUUUAUUGAAUAAAAAUUUUAGUAAUUUAUUUUGUUUUGUUUUUUCAAAUUCAAAUUAUCGCAUAUGCAUAAAAAUAUUAAAUUUUUAUAUGUUUGAUGUGAUAAUUAAUUCAGAAAAAAGUAAACAAAGAAAUAAAAAAAUAUAUAAUGAUUUAAAAAUAAUUCUUAUUAUAUAAUUGAAUAAGGAUUGAAUAUAAGAAAAUAAUUAAUAUGAUAUAAUUAAAUUUCAGAUAUUUUUGAUUCUAUUUGAUUGGCUAAUACAUAUGCUUUGAAAUUAUUUACUAGUUUUUGUGUGUCUAAUCAAAGAAAGAAAGAUUUUUUAAAAAAUUACUUUUAAUGAUUAGUUUAAUAAGAUAUAUUUGAUUUUUUAAUCAAAUUAAUAUGAAUGGAAUUAAUUAUAAUUAUUCUAGUAAUAUAAGUCUUUUUUUUCCAAAAAAAAUUGAGAGCAUAGCAAAAUUGUUAAUAUUACAUAUGACAAAUGUUAUUUUUAAAGUGUUUUUCUCAAAUAAUAAUAUAAAAGAUUUCAAAUUUCCACCGACAAUCAUUGACUUUGGAUUAUGAAAAUUUGUGAAAAACAAAUUACAACUCUUCAUUAACUUUACAUGUAUCCCAUUAAUUUAAACUGGUUAUACAAAUACUGUUGGCAUUCAAAUCCCUGCUCAAUGAAAAUAAACCCGUUGAUCAAAGAGUUAAAAAACAAAACAAAAAAGUGAAAAGCGAAGGAAAAGCUAGAUAACGAGCUAAAACAAGGGAACAAGACGUCAAGACCCCUACAUAUACAAAAGCAAACCCCUACGAGAACAACAAAACAAAACAGUACACUUGCAGAGAGAUAAGAAUGCAAAGGAUACAAAAGCAUAAAACAAUUUGAAUUGGUUUUAGUUUGACAAGGAAGCAACCCGUCUUAAGUUAUACAAUAGGAGAAUGAAAUACCUAAUCCAAGUGGCGUCACAACACACUUGCAGAGAGAUAAGAAUGCAAAGGAAAAACAAUAAUAGGAUAAUACAAUCCAUAUGAACAACACAUCACACAUCAAACAAUAAUACUCUGAAGAUCCCCUUUUACAUACGCAAAAACAUAAAACUAUUUGAUUUGCUUUAGUUUGAGAAGGACGCAAUCCGUCUUAAGUUGAUACAAUAGGAAAAUGAAAAACAUAAUCCAAGUGAACAACACAAAACACUGCAGAAGGAUACGAAUCAGUAAUGAUAUCCAAAAUGAACACAUCACACUACAAGAUCAAAGACAGAAGACGAAGAUGCGUAGAUUCUGUUCUUAGUGCCGAAUCCUUAUGCAUAGUGAAGGAUGUUUAGUAGACCUAAAGCAACAAACGAUGAAAAAAAAGAAACAAAAGUUAGUGAGUGACACUUGCGGGGCUCAUUGAAAUUGAGAGGCACAAGCAUAUUGAGUAUAUAUAAAUCUUAAGAAUCUGAACUACUUUUAGUCGUUUUCUUUUAAUAUUUCUAACCUCCCAUUUAUUUCUUGCUGAACAAGAAACCCAGAUGUGGAAGGAAAAGAAGAAGAAAUUGUUUGUGAUUUGAUCCUUUGAAGAGAUCAAUACACAUAUGUUUUUACAUUUUGAAAUAAUGAAACUAAUCCACCGAACACAUGCAUGACUUUUCUAAUAUUUUUUUUUUAUCAUGUUGUCCAAUUUGUGUUUGUCGGGUAUAUCAUGAUGCAAAUGGAGAGUAUCAGUCUAAUAAGGGUGAAUACUUCAAGCUAACCUAUAGCAAACAUGAAAAAAACUCAGAGAUGAAAAAAAUAAAAACCAAAGCGGAAGGGUAUUAAGAGAACUGAUUACCAGAUGGAUUAAAGGCAAUAAACGGUUUUUGGUAUCUUCGUCCUCCCAUUCAAGCUCAGUUAUCUCUUGUCCAUGACCCAUAUCUAUUGUAAACCGGGCAAGUCGUGGGACACUUGUAGCAUCAAAGGGAAGCUUUCUCAGAUUUGGACACUCUAGUACGCUUGUGUGCCACAAUGAUGGAAAGGGGAGAGGACUCCAAUAGAUACUCUCCAGCUUAGGCAAACUUGUCAGCGAUAAGAAUUCAAGUUUCUGAAAUGGUGUAAUACCUGUAAGAUUGUUUGCUUUCUCUUUGUUUAUUAUUUCUUCCACUUCGUUUGAAUAUUCAAUUUGUAGGUAGACAAGAUUUGGAGCAAACAAUAGCCAAGUCAUAUCCUUAAAGCCAAUACAGCCAUAGAUAUGCACAAACAAGAGGUUUGUAAAGCAUGGACUUGUCGGAUUGUCUAGAUCUGACAAGUCCGUCCCGCCUUCUCUGCAUUUUGUAUUAAUCUCCGAGAUAUGACUAUUUUCCAGCCAGAGCAUACGAAGAUUCUUCAUACUCACCAGCAAUGACAUAUUCAAUGGCUUUUUAUAAAAAGAUUGAAUACACAGACCAUUGAUGCAGUUCGCCAACUUUUGAUCCCCUAAUAUUUGCUCCAAACCCAAUUCCGUAGAUAUCGUUAUGGUUAGAACUUGUAGAUGCUCCAAGAUCUGUAGCUCCUUCACUGAGCUAACAUCUCCAUGAACAUUGGACUUUAGUAGUUUCAAAAUUCUUAAACUCGAAACCUUUGAUAUCUCACUGAUACUCCGAAGUCUGUGUGUAGAAGUCAAAUUUAGCUGGAUUAGCUUUUUCAACUCUUGGAAACCAACAGGCAGUUGCUCUAUACUUGUAUUCGACAAGUCAAGAUACUGUAAGGAGGUCAGCUCUGAUAUCUGCUCUGGAAGUUAAUUGAAGUUAUUAUUACCGGAUAAAUCCAAAACAAGUAGUUUUUGCAUAGAAAGGAUGAAUUCACUUGAGAGACUCUUCAAUUUAUUAUCCUGGAAAAACAUAGUUGUAAGUUCAGAACACUUGGAACAGCAACUAAUCUCUUCUAUCGCAUUACACAUUAAUGAUAAAAUUCUCACAGGUCUCCAAUCUUCAACUUUUGGUGUCUCACGUAAUCCGACUCGCGCUUGCACAACACAAAUUUCUUUCGGUUUUCCAAAGUCAGAUGCAAUCCAUAGAGCCAUUUCGCGGACUAUGUCAAUGAUGAUAGACUUAUUCGUAGAUUUUCAUUAAUGGUAGAUUUAUUUUCCUAGUAGUGGUAGAUUUAUUGUCAAAUGAUGAAAGAUUUAUUUUUGUAUAGGUUUAGUAUACAGUAGAUUUAUUUUUGAUAUAAUGAUAGAUUUAUUUUGGAUUUUAUGUAUUUAUCUUCUUCUCUAGUAGGUUAUUGACGACGAAUGGUGGAUCAAAAGAUAAAUAAUAUGAUGGAAGUGGAGUGAGUUACUAGCACGGAAAUGGAGAUUUGUUUAUCAAAAAAAAUAUUUGUAGAUUUGUUUGCUUGAAUAGUGGUAUUUGUUUAUUUAAUGGUAAAUUUAGUUUAGGAUUUGAUAGAUUUAUUCGAAAUGGUAGUAAAUUUCUUUUUAAAUAAUAAUUUAAUAAUUGCUUAGUAGUAUAAUCAAAAUGAAUGAGAUAUAAACUAAAAACAUAUGAUACAACCCAAUAAUAUAAAACAAAUUAAAAUACAUAUUCAUUUUAUAUACCAAAAAAGAAAAUAAACAAACACAAAUAAAUAAAAAACCAUUUGUCAUUUCUAACACAAUCAAGCAUUGUCUAGCAAAUAACCAAAUAUCAUAAAUGGUUCAAUGUAGAUUAAAGUAAUAAUACAACUUUUCAUUUGUUAUUGACAUUUUAGUACUUCAAAAAAUUCAUAUAUCAAACUAAAUCAGUCCUUAUAAUUAAAUGCAUUUUUCAAUUAAUUUUAAACCCACUUUUCCUCUAAUAUCCCAUAGGAUAUCACCGAGGAGGUAGGUGGUCUUACUUUGCUAAGCUUCAAAUUGUAUUGUCUUCACUUUUCAGUAUAAGACUAAUAAACAUUUAGUUUACAAUUUUGAAUUUUCUAAAUGGAGUAGGCCGAGAUCAGGUCCAGGCUAUUGAUGCGAACAAAUCUUACAAAUUGCAAACGGCUAUUUGCUUUGUGUUAGCAUUGGUCCAUUGAAUUUUCAAUUUUUUUAAUAACUUAUAUUGAGUCAUAUGGAAAUGGACAACACUCAGCGGUAUCAGUUCUUAUCAGCACCGCUGCUUUGUAUGUAGUCGCCGUCUGCUUUGUAUCGUAAAAGAAAGAAGAUUGAGUUUUGCCAGAAUCUACUCUACAAGAUUGUUGUAGUUUCUGGACACGCAGCUAAUUCAAAUGACGAACCAAUGUUCAAUGUUCAAGACCGGUGGGCAGUGAAUAAUUGAGCGUAUCAAAUUAGGCUUGCGAAUUUGUUUUUUGCUGAAGAUUUGUUCUUGGGCUCUUGUUUUAAUGUUCUUAAUGUGGUGAAGCCAUUAGGAAAGGAAUGUGAAAACUCUUAAAAUUAAGAAGACUCUUUCCAUGUCUUCUUAAGUGAAGUUGUCUCUUAAGCUUAUUGCCCCAAAUCAGAAAGCCACUAGAUAUAGUUUGGGAUUAGAUGGAAGUCAUAGCAUCUUCAGAUUAGGUUUAGGGGGUUUAAAUUAGAGAGUCUGAUAAACAGGAUCUUCAUGAUUCAGCAAAAUCAUAUAACUUUUCAUCUUGAUUCCUCCUGUUAACAACACAUAUACACUUCAAGAUGAAAUAGAAAAAGCUACAGGUAGAGGAAUUUGAUUUUGGAUAGUGAGGAAUCAAAAUACACAGUAAAUUCAGAGGCAUCACAUGCUUUUAUGAUAUCUCCUUUCACGUAAAAGCAUAAAAACUGUUGAUUAUAUAAAUACAUGUAGCUUGAGAAAAAAGCAAUCCGCCUUAACUUAUUACAUAGAAAAUUGAAAAUAGAAAAUCCAAUUGAACAACACAACACACUGCAGAGAGAGAGAGAUAAGAAUGCAUAGAAAAAACAAUAAUACAAUCCAAAUGAACAACACAUCACACUUUGAGGAAGAAAGAGAAAGCAGAAGAAGAAGCGUGGAUUCUGGUUUCUGACUGUGAGGAAUCCCAAUCCAGCUUCUGGUGUGGUUAGUCUAUACUGAAUAUGUUAAGAAGAAAUAAAAUAAACAAAGUUAGUGAAUAUUCAGAAAUUCAUCUAAGACUGCUAGGAAUAUCCAGCAAAUUCUGCCUCACCAUUAAUAUACUAAUUUUAACCAGUUUCUAUUAAAUAUUUUUAUAUAUGCCUUGCUUAACGAAUGUGAAAGGAAAAGAAGAAGAAAGAAAAUACUGUUUGUGAUUUAGUCAUUUGAAGAGCUCAAUGCACGUAUGUAUUUAAACUUUUGAAAUUGACCCCUCGUAAAUAUCCAACAAACACAGGUCUGAUGAUUUUGCAGAUAAUUUUCUAAUUUUGUGACCCAAUUUGUGUUUUGUUGGGUAUCAUGAUGCAAAUGGAUCAUAUCAGACUAAAAUAAAACGAUCACACUUCAUUCUAACCUUGAGCAAACUUGACAGAAACUCAGUAAGAUAAAUUAAUUUAUUCAAGCGGAAGAGAAUAAGAGAAAUGAUUACCCAAAUGACCGAUGGCAGGAAACGUUUUUUUGUAUCUUCAUCCUCCCAUUCAAGCUCAGUUUUCUGUUCUGGAGGAACCAUAGAUAUUUCAAACCCGUCAAGUCGUGGGACACUUGUAGCAUCUAAAGGAAGCUUUCUCAGCUUUGGACAAUUUCCUACAUAUAUGUACCGCAAUGAUGGAAAGGGGAGAGGACUCCAGUAGAUACUCUCCAGCUCAGGCAGAUUUCUCAGGGAUAAGUAUUCUAGUUUCUGAAAUGGUGUAGUACUUGUAAGAUUGGUUGCUUUCUCUUUGUUUAUGAUUUCUUCUACUUCUCCUAAAUGUGAAAUGUCUAGCCAAGUCAGAUUUGGAGCAAAGAGUAGCCAAGUCAGAUCCUUAAUGCUAUCGCAGUUUCUCAUAUUCACGGCGGAGAGGUUGGUAAAGCAUGGACUCGUCUUGCUUCCUCUGCAUUUAAUAUAUGUAUCAAUCGCCGACACAUGACUACCAUCCACCUGGAGCAGACGAAGAUUCUCCAUACUCAACAGCGAUGACAUAUUGAAUGGCUUUUCUUUAAAAC